UUCAAGAAUGCCUGGUCUAGAGAUCGAAUUGCAUCAAAAACAAUAAAAGCUUCACUGCAAAUUGUGGCCCAAAUUCAUCAACUCGUCUGCCAUCAUGAUCGGAACAGCUGCUAUAUUUACACCCAAAUUAGAAUGGUAGUUGAAAGUCGGGGGGUGUUCAGUCUGAAAAAAGAAGGGCAUGGGCUGCUCGAAAAAAGCAGACUUAGAUGGACCCAGCAUUUACUCCUUAGUGAUGUACAAUCGCACCCAGGACAAAAAGAAUAGCACACUCACACAGAAAAUUCUAGGUCGACAUGAUCAUCUCAUCAACUUGCGGCUCUGCCCUCUUCAAGUACUUGAGCGAACUCCUCUAGAUACUUGUGUUGCAGCUCCACGUUGCCGAAUAUCUCCCUCAUGGCCCAUGCGUUUGCCCUCACCUCCUCUCCCUCCGGCUCCACCAUGACCCGCCUUAUCGUCUCGGCUACCGAGUCGCCUGUGAAGGACCCGUCUCGGUCAUUUCUUGGUACCUCUGACCCGACCCGCCUCUCGUCCAUCAGCCUUGCCACAAGUCCUUGGUCCGAGCUCCCGCCGGAAAACAGGAUUAGCGCCCGGCCCUGCCCGAGGGCCUCUAUGACUGAGCUCCACCCACAAUGCGUCAAGAGCCCGCCAACCGACGGGUGGGCCAGGAUGUCCAGCUGAGGAGCCCAACCCACCCAGACGAAGCCUCGACCCGACACCUGGCUUUCGAAGCUGGAAGGGAUACUGCCGGGACCAGCCUUUCGGCCUACCACCCAGACGAAGGGCAAACUUGACUUUUCAAUUCCACAUGCCAACUCGUGCAUGAACUCUUGACUCAGAGCUACCUCGGUGCCCAGGGCGAUGUAGAACACCGACUUCUCUUCCCUAUCAUCCAACCAUUGCUUUAGCUCACUCCACCUCCCAACUCCUUCGUGGCGGCUUUUAUUCUGGGGCGGCAAAAGCCCCAUCGGAACCACGGCUCUUCCGUAAAGCUUCUUAAGUAGACUCAAUGGCUCGGCCUCAAACUCGCUACAGGUUCUUGUGGCCACGAUUUCACAACCCUGUAUCAACCUGCCUAACCUUUCGAAAACCGACAUGUUAGCGUCAGAGUCCACGAAAUCCUCUUCGUUAAUCACCUCGUGAAGCCUAAACGCGACCUUAGUGGGGUAAGUAACCCACUGGGGAACGACCGUCAGGUCCUCUGCCGCCUUGGCUCGGGCCUGACCGUCCAUCAAAAUCGAUGGCGGGCCGCAGAAGACGAGGGUGGUAGCACUAAAUAUGCUGAAGAAUGCCGAUUUAACGCCCAGUCGUCUUGCCUUUUGGGGUAACCAGAAAGACAUGAAGUCUUGGAUCACCCAGUCGACGUCCGACUUCGCUAGGAACUCGGCAACAGCUGGCUCGAGCAUGUCGUAUGCCUUCUUAAGGUAAGGGACCAUGUUAUGCAGCAGCUCGGAGGUCGACUCGGCAGAGUCGGGGAGGCCAUGGACGCGAGGCAAAGGAAGCUCAACGAGGGUUAUCGAGGGAGGGAGGUUCGCGGGGAGCUUUUGGAGGUUUUUCGGGGUGGAGAUGAAGGAGACGCGAUGACCCUUUCGAGCUAAGAAGGUGGCGACCUCAAGGAAGGGCAUGAGAUGGCCGUAAGCGAGCCAUGGGAACAUCGCUACGUGAAGCUUCUUCUCUUCGUUUUCCAUGGUGGUGUCUAACUUUUCCUUUUAUUCGAUGGAUCUAGUACCGUGACUCUCUAUAUAUACAAGGACUGUCUGGAGGGACGGUGCAACAGCUGCCCAUUUAAAAUUCUUAUUGAUGCUGGCGUAAGCAAGAUCAUAUCUCAAUACGAUAACUUAUUUAACGGGACUACGAAAAUUUAUAUUAUGAACGUGAUUUGUUAAAUGAUAAGGCUUGAGAAUAUUGUAUUAUUGAUGUGUGCUUCUCAUGGACUAAGUGCAGCCCGGUGAUAGCAAGUCUCGUGGAAACCAUAUUUAGAAUAUUGUAUUUAUCGAUACGAAUUGAUCAACGACUAAUUACUAUAUAGCGACACUCUAAAGUCUUAUACUAAGUUCUACACAUUUACGGUACCUUUCAAAAGUAAUGGAGCCGUUGCAUAAUUCUCUUAAAUUGAUUUGCUGCCUUCCAUGAUCUUCGCGAAAUUGCACGGUCCAAUGAUAGUCAUACUUCCUAAUUCCAUUUCCUCAAUUCUCAAAGAGAAAUGAGUGGAUAACUGCGCCAUCAAUCUCUCAAGAGUGACUGACCAAAAAAAAAUCUCUCAAGAGUGAGGGAGGCGCAUCAACCACUCGUGUAAAGAUGAAAACUGGGUUACUUCUUUGACCAGUUUCCUCUUUCUAGGAUUGGAGCAAUAAUUAAGACAAAAUUAAUGAAAUUAAUUUUUUUCCCAUAGAUCACUAAAUUGAUUAAGAAAAGGGAGAAAGUUACAAAAAAAUCCAAAACUAUGCUUAUUAUAACACAUUUAUUCCAAACUUAUUUUUUGACACAGAAAAUCCCAGACAUUUUUUCUAUGACACAGAAAAUCAUAAAUUUAUAUCUGUGUGACACAUUUACUUCAAAAAAAUAAUAAAUUUUGAGGUAAAUGUGUCAUAUAAAUACUAAGUUUAGGGUUUUUGGUGUUGCGGAAAAAUAAUUUGGAAUAAAUGGGUCACAUGGGUAUAAGUUUAGGGUUAUAAAUGGGUAUCAUAGGCAUAAGUUUGGGGGGUUUUUGUGUAAAAAAAAAAAGUUUGGAUAAAUGUGUCACAUAUGUUUAAAUUUGGGAUUCUUGGGUCGCAAUUUUUUUUUUUUUUUGGAUAAAUAUGUCAAGUGGGCAUACUUUAUGAUUUGUUGUGACCGAUUCUUUUAAGGAAAAAAAAAUCUAGUGGAGUUUCUAUUCGCUCCUCAAAUUUGUCUUACCCUACUUAAAACUCAUAGAAGUCCAAAUUUAAAAAAUCACAAACUUAUUUUUCCACUUUGAUUUCUGACGUUACUUAAGGCUAUCUGUUUUAGUAAUAGCAACACCUAAUUUACGCAACUUAAAUCAUCAAUAAGUUCAGCUCCAACCAUAACAGUCCAACUUAAUACGAAAAUCCAAAUCAUUAUCUUGUGACUAGCCAAAAAUGAAAUUUAUUUAAAAAUUUAAAGUAUAUUGAGUUUGUUUAAUUAAGUUUGUUUUUUUCCUAUCUAUCUUUUUUUUUUUUGGGGGGGGGGGUAAAACUCUACAUUUUCAUGGUACUAGCCUACGUUUAAUUUAAUAUAGCUAAACUCGAUAAUUAUGUAUCAUGUCUAAGUUCAACAGAUGCUAGAAAGAGAUUCAUUGCGAUGUAUAAUUUUUUACUUGUUUGGUAUAAAUAUGAGUGGAUUACUAAUUUGACAUUCAUUGUAUACGUGUAAUAGCUGAAAAUGUUUGGCGAGGACGCCAUAAAAAAAAAAUUGAGCUUUCCAUUUUUAAGUACUUAUCCAAAGUGUUUUAAAAAAAUGUUCGCAGCAGUAAUUAUGUUUCCUUCUUUCUGGCGUCACCACCCGGUGGUGCUCAUUUCGCACCAAUAGGCGCACUCGUUUUGCUGUGGACAGAGAGAGGGAGAGAGAAAACAGUGACAGAUCGAUUUUGACCUUUGUAGUGAAGAAGCUGCUGUGUGAAAAUGGGCCAGGAGUUACCAAACGGGCUUGUAAUUUGGGCUAAACAAAUGACGGGCUGAUUAGGAACGAUGAGGCCCAAGUAAAUGGUGCUUGCUUUUGCAUGCCAAGGGUUCUCAUUAGUAAGGGUUCAUUAUUUGCCUGAUCAGCCUUUUAUUAUAACUUGAGUUUUGGAUGUAUAUUAAAUUUUCUAAGUGCAUUCGUUGCUUAAUUAUCAUCCACCAUUAAGGAUUUUGUAGUUCGCGUUUCAUACCAUUACGAUGUAGAAUGAAAAGCUUAUAUAUCUUGAUUAACAACGCACCAGAGACAAAGUUCAAGGAUCAACUUAAUCUUGAAUCCAAGAUGUCAAAGUUUGAAAUUAAAGUCUCGAUUGUAAUUUCGACACUUUUCUUUUUCUAGUGGUAAGUCUAAUGCAUGUAGUUUUUUUAAAUGCUUAAACAUUGAACCAUACAUUCAUCUAAUGCUUAUACUUUAAAAAUAAUUGGCAGUGAUCUCACCAAGUUACGGUGGUAUUUCUUAUUGUAUGUUAAAUUAACAUUCUUCAUGAUGUCAUAAUUAAGGUGUUAGAUAUUCAUUUAAACUUUCAAGAGUUUAAUUAAAGGUGAGUGUUUUAUUCCAAAUGCGAAAAAUCCUCUGUUUGCAUCACAACUUAAUUCACUUGGAUGAAUCUCAAGGAUCGGGACCAUUGCCCUAUGAAUGAAACCGUAUGUCGUUUUGUGGAUGAAGAGACUUGUAUGCAUACAUGAAAAAUUAAGAUAAGUGUAUUGAAAAUUCUAAAACUUAUUAUGAAAGUGUAAUUGAGUUUAAAAACUUUUAAAUAGUGCAAUUAAGUCUUAAAAUUUAUUAAAUUGAUUUAAUAAAGUCCUAAAACUUGUUAAGUUAGUAUACUCAAGUUCUUUCAUUAACUCCAUCCAACUUAAAAAGUGAAAAACAUUAAUAAAAUUUAGAAUUUUUUUUUGGUAAAAUUAAUAAAAUUUAGAAUUUAAUUGUAUCAAUUUGACAAAUUUUGAAACUGUUCAUCUGUUACACAUUUACCUUUUAACACUAGACAAGUUGGAUUAAAAAGGAAUAAAAAAGUAAACUUGCAUGAAGCCAUUCAAUUUGUAAAAGGAAAACAUCCUCAGAAAUCCCAUUUAUAGCAAGAUCAGAUCACAGUUCCCAAGAUGGGAUGGGCGGGAGUUGGCCAUUCAAUUUGUAAAAGGAAAAAAUCCUCGGAAAUCCCAUUUAUAGCAAGAUCAUAUCACAGUUCCCAAGAUGGGAUGGGUGAGAGUUAGCCAUUCAAUUUGUAAAAGGAAAAAAUCCUCGGAAAUCCUAUUUAUAGCAAGAUCAGAUCACAGAAAUCCCAAGGCUGAGAAUUACCGAGCAGUUGCCCACUUCUACCUGACGGUAGAACCUCGUCUUAAGGCGAAAAUAAAAGAAGUCCGCGAGAGUUUUGAAAAGACGGUCGGUUCCCUUUAACCCUUUUUUGGCUUUUUGGGAAUGUCAUACGUGGGAAGCACUUCGGCUACCUUAUCGCAAGGGUUUCGAUGAAAAAAAAGAUAAGAUUAGCAGAGAAUUCUAUAACAGAUGAUUUGUAGCAUCCGGAUGGUUCAAUUCCUUUUGAGGAAUUAAUGACCGCUGCGCACCUUAAACCGCUAGUUCUGCAGGAAGCAAAAAAACUUGCGCGAAGGACGUUUUCUUUUCUGCCUUCUCCUCUCCAAAGGCCAAGGAAGAGACUGCAUCCCUUUCCUUCGGUAGCUCUAUUUGUUUUCCAAGGAUAGCGGUAGCUGGGGCAAAGCCCGCUUUCUUCACUCCGCGAAUGAGAGAGGAUAAACUCAGAGGAAAAAACACGUUCUCUCUUUGGGCGGGAGUUAAUGCUAGCAAUAAUUACAUGAUUCUAGUACACAAAGACUUCAGUUGGUCCCAGCAGCCUACAAUGUGCCUAGGUUUCGGAUAACCACAUGACAGAUGAAUUUUAAUUCUAAAUGCCAGGCUGUUUCUGAAUUAUUAGUUUAUUGGACAUAUUAUCUGAAUUUCAAACUUAAUGUGCAAUUUAUUCACUAUGGUUCUAAACUUUAGUUUAGAAAUAAUCUCAAAUAUUAAGUCAAAAUUUGUGAAUCAUUUUUAUCAUUUUUCCUUUUCCGACUUAUACACUCUUGCGUCAAUGAUUUUUGUGAAUUUUGUGAAAAAGGAGAUAAGUUUCAAGUAGGGUAUGUAUAAUAUCAUUUUUUGUUGGUAAUUCAUACGGAUCAUUGAUAAUGUAGAAAUUGUAUAGAACCCCAUGCUCAACAUGCAUCUUAGAGAUUUGAUUAGCGAAGAAUCGAGGAUUGAGAAAAUAUUCUCCUCACUUAAAAACAGUCUUUGCAUUGUUUAAGAAAAUGUGAUAGCAAAAAAUAUUUCUGUUGCUAAUAGGAAAUGAUGAUGAUGCAUACAUUUUCUAUUCAGGGAUUGAAGAAUUACCUGAAUCCAUGGGCUCCCUUACAUCAUUAACUCAGUUGGACUUAUCUUGUUUGGGUAUUGAAAAAUUACUAGAAUCUAUUGGUUCUUUGAAGGAGCUCGUGACUCUUAAUGCCUUCGAUUGCGCAUCGUUAACUUGCAUACCCUGCUCAAUAGGCCAUCUAGUAUCUCUCCGGCGCUUGCUAUUACGGGAAUGCUGGUCAUUAAGAGAGGUUCCCGCUUCGAUCGGAAAGUUGGCAUCAUUUGUUGAGAUGGAUUUAAAAUCUACAGUGAUAAGAGAAUUACCUGAAAGCAUUGGUUCUUUGACGGAGCUUAAGACUCUUGAUACCUCUAGUUGUGCAUUGUUAGCUCACAUACUGAGCUCCAUAGUCCAUUUAGCAUCUUUGCGGCGCUUGCUAUUAGGGGGAUGCUGCUUGUUGCAAGAGAUCCCCAACUUGAUUAUACAGUUGGCAUCAUUGACCGUGCUUGAUUUAAAAUCUACAAAGAUUUUAGAAUUAUUUGAAUGCAUUGGUUCUCUAAAGGAACUUGAGACUCUUGAUGUCUUUAAUUGUGCAUUGUUAGCCCACAUACCUAGCUCCAUCGGCCUUUUUGCAUCUUUGACUCUCUUUGACCUAAGUAGAUGCAAUAACCUUGCUCAACUUCCAGACUCCAUAGGCUCCCUCGUGUCCUUACAACACUUGUUAUUACAAGGAUGCUACUUGUUGAGAGAGAUCCCUGACUCGAUUGGAAAUUUGACAUCAUUGAUUGUGCUGGAUUUGAAAUCUACAGCAAUUGUGGAAUUACUUGAAAGCAUUGGUUCUCUAAAGGAGCUCAAGACUUUAGAUGUCUCUUGUUGUGCGUCAUUAGCCUGCAUUCCUAGCUCCAUAGGCCAUUUAACGUCUCUGACUCUCCUUGACCUAAGAUUUUCUCUAAAACUUGCUCAACUUCUAGACUCCAUAGGCUCACUCAUGUCUCUACAUCGCUUGUUAUUAUGAGAAUGCCAAUUGUUGAAAGAGAUCCCCGACUCGAUUGGAAAGUUGGCAUCAUUGACCGCAUUGGAUUUAAAAUCUACAGCCCUUGUGGAAUUACCUAGAAGCAUCGAGAAUCUUCAAAAUUUGAGGAUCUUGGACAUUCGUGGAACUCAUGUAACAUUGCCUGAAACCUUCGAAAUCCUACAAAAUGUGGAAAUCUAAUACACUCAGGAACUAGGUGAAUUGCUUGCUUUUACUGAUUGCCUGAAUUGGUUCUUUUUUUUUAUAAUUGUUCUACAACAUUUAAACCGCAGUUCUCUCUUUUGACUGUUCUCAUAUGACUGCUCAAAAUAAUUUGAUGAUUUUUUUUUUUCAGGAAAAUAAUUUGAUGAUUAAAAUGUGGAGUAUUAAGGAAGCUUCUGGAGGCAAAGCACAAAACACAUAGGCAAAGGAGAGAGAGAGAGAGAUCAUACUACUGGUUUUAUGGCGCUCUUGAUCACCAGAAUUCGUCAGGUUCUUUCAAGUUUAUUUCAUAGGGUGUGAAUUUGAUUUGCUGCAAGGCUGUUGGAGUGAGUUCAUAGUUUCAUUGUCAUUUUAGAUUCUUGAUGAACUGUUUAUUUUUCGAGUUUGAUUCUAACAAGAUUCAUACCGUUUAUCCUGUCAUUGCGCAAUUAAUUCUUCUGCUCAUUAAUCAUUCCAAUGCUGGAAUUUUGUUGGUACGCCGAUGAGGAUUUUGCUCUAGGAGUCAACUCUCUGCCAUUUGUCAUCCAACACGAUUCUUCAUCCUCGGCAUGAUAUUGAGAGCCAGACUUUUAGAUUAAUUUUCUCUUUUGCAAGUUUUGUAUCUGAAGGUUGUUGCACUUGCUUGCAGGUCAUCUAUAACUGGCUUGUUUUGUUUAUAUGGCUGAGUUAAAUUCUCGUCUCUCGUUUGAUUCUUGUAAUGCCAGUUAUACGGGUUAGGUUAUACACGAAGUUGAUCCAGUGGAAAUUACUGGACGUUGAAAGAACAAGCGACUCUUCAAGAAUCCUUUGAGCAUUGUCUUCUCAGUUUUUUAAGGUGGAUGAUUGAAAUCCUCCUAUCUGGAAUGAUGUGAAUUUGCUUGCUUUUACUGAUUGCUUCACUUGGUUUUUCAUUGUUCUGCAAUAAAUAAGCUUCAAUUCUCUCUUGUCUGGUCUUAGAUGACUGCUCAAAAUAAUUUGACGAUUAGCAUGUGGAUUAUUAAGGAAAAGCUUCUAGAGGCAUAGCACAGGAACACAUGGGCUGGGGGGGGGGGGGGGGAGAGAGAGAUCAUACUGCUGGAUUUAUGGGGCUCUCGGUCACGAGAAUUCUUUAUUUAUUUAUUUAUUUUCCGAAUGAUCCCCAGAAUUCGUCAGGUUUUUUGAAGCUUAUUUCAUAGGGUGUGAAUUUGAUUUGCCGCAAGUCUGCAAGAGUGAGUUCGUAGUUUCAUUGUCUCUAUGCUGAGUUUGAUCCUAACAAGAUUCAUACCAUUUAUACUGUCAUUGCGCAAUUUAUUCGUCUGUCAUUAAUCGUUCCAAUGCUGGGAUUUUGUUGGUACGCCGAUGAGGAGUUUGUUCUGGCGAUGCUCUGUAUGCAAGUCUUAAACGGAGCAAACACCUGCUCAAAACUUCACUUUCCGUUUCCUCCCCGUUCAUCGCCACCACAUUCUCGUCCAGUUCCGCCAGGGGUGUACGAUCUCCACCUCCAAGGAACACAGCAUGGAGUCGAACUGAUCGCGCGUUGACUUGGUCAAUCAACAUCACAAGAGUCUACGGCUAUAAGAAUUGCUGUCCAAACAACAUAAGAAGGCCCAUAUGAACGGGAUAUGCGCUCGUAAAACGUUUUCUGGAAUUUGGAUUGAAGUGACUCCGGGCAUCACGUGGACCAAGAUGAAUCGAUUGGAUUUAGGCACGAGACUCUGGACGGCCCAAUGGACGGCGCGGCUCUUUCCUCUUCCUCCAUCGAAGCUGCCUAAGCCGUCACCUUUCACGGCCACCGCAAUGCAGUCUUUACCGGUGGAGCACCCCAGUAGCCGCCACCGGUGUUGCUCAUUUCGGCCCCAGUAGGCGCGCUCGCCUUGCUGAUAUAUAUAUAUAGAGAGAGAGAGAGAGAGAGAGAGAGAGAGAGAGGACAGUGAGGGCCUGCAUGUUUGUGUUUCUUUUUGUUGUUCAUGAACAAAUUUUCUGUUUUUUUGUUUCUGGGAACAAAAAAAGAACAGAAACGCGUUUGUUUGCGUUUUUGUUCAAAAUCUAACUUUUUAUUUCGGGAACAAAAUUAGAACAGAAAUAAGAAACAAAAAAAAGUUAUUUUUUUUUCCAGAAACACUUUUUGAAGAAUAAAAAGUUAUUUUUUUCUUCUUUUUUCUUUGGCCGGUUGCCGGCCCCCGGCGAGGCUCAGCCUCGCCGGUGCGGGGCGAGGCUCGGCCUCACCUUGGCUCGGGCGAGGCUCGGCCUCGUCGGGGGCCAACGAGCCUCGCCGUGGCUGGGUGAGGCUGUCGGCCCUCGUCGGCCGAUCACCAGCCAUGGCCGAGGCCGGCGACCGGCCAAAAGAAGAAAAAAAGAAAAAAGAAAGAAAAAAAGGAAAAAUAAAAUAAAAAUAUUAAAAAAUUAAAAGAAACAAAAAAAAAAUACAAAUUUACCAAACGUGUUUUUAUUCAUUUUUUAUUCAUGGAACAAGUUUACCAAACGUGUCUUUCUGGUAAAAAAUUAUUUCCCAGAACAGAAAUAGUUUUUUCUAUUUCUGUUCCCUGGAACACUUUUUGAAUAGAAACACAGACAAACGCGCCAUGAAUGGCCGAUUGACCUUUGUACUGAGUAAGCUGAUGUGUGAAAUGGGCCAGAAAUUACGAAACAGCCUUGUAAUUUGGGCUUAAUAAGCGACGGGCUGAUUAGAAACGCUAAGGCCCAAGUAAAUGGUCCUUGCUUUUACAUGCCAUUGCUAACAUUGCAUCCCAAUUUAUCUGAGUCGGAGGAAUCUUGGGGACUGGGGCGCCCACCCUGUGGACGAAACCGUGUCUUCAUGCAAACAUAUUUCAUUGAUUAAUUUUUCCGAGCGACAGAAACGAUUUUAUUCUACAAUUUUAUUUCUAAAUUAUGAUUUUUUUAAAGAAAAUUAUUUCCAAAUCAUAUGAAUUGUUGCAAAACAAAACAAGUUGAAUCUAAAUGAAUGAGCCCGUAAAACAUUCGAUUAAGAAAGAACUUAUGAUUGCGUUCGUAGCGGUGCUAGGAACUCACUCUCUUACAUGUCAUUUUUUUUGGAGAAAGAAAGAAGAAGGGAACGAAAAAACUCACUUUCCGGGAACGUGGAUUUUUCUAAGUCUUCAGAUCCAGCCAUUCUCUUGAUAAUGAUCUUGAUGUAACGCUUGCGCUAGAAAACGAAAUUAGUAUACUAAAACUGAUGCCAUGUAUCAUUGCUGGAUCCACGAUUGAUACGUGUUUGGCCACAUGCAUGCAUGAUGCCAACGUAGUACAAAUAAUCACACACCCAACUUGUAGGUUGACAAGUUCCUCAGCUUCAGGCUCUACCCUUUUCAAGUGCUCGAGCGAACUCCUCCAAAUAUUUCAAUUGCGACUCCACGUUACCAAAUAUCUCCCGCAUGGCCCAUGCGUUCGCCCUCACUUCCUCUCCAUUUGGCUCUACCAUGACCCACCUUAUCGUCUCGGCUACCGAGUCACUCGUGAACGACCCGUCCCGGCCGUCCCUUGGCACUUCCGACCCGACCCGCCUCUCGUCCAUUAGCCUUGCCAUCAGCCCUUGGUCGGAGGCCUUGCCCGAGUGCCUCUAUGACAGAGCUCCACCCGCAGUGCGUCAAGAACCCGCCGAUCGAUGGGUGGGCCAGGAUGUCGAGCUGAGGAACCCAGCCCACCCAGACGAGGCCUCGACCCGAGACCCGGCUUUCGAACCCAGAAGGGAUACUGCUGCUGGGGCCUGCCUUUCGGCUAUCACCCAGACGAAGGGCAAACCUGACUUUUCAAUCCCACAUGCCAACUCGUGCAUGAACUCUUGACUCAAAGCCACCUCGGUGCCGAGGGCGACAUAGAACACUGACUUCUCUUCCUUAUCAUCCAACCAUUGCUUGAGCUCGCCCCAUCUCCCGUCUCCUUCGUGGCGGCUUUUAUUCUGGGGCGGCAAAAGCCCCACCGGAACCACGGGUCUCGUGUAAAACUUCUUGAGUAGACUCAACGGCUUGGCCUCGAACUCGCUACAGGUCCUUAUGGCCACGAUAUCGCAGCCCUGUAUUGACCUGCCUAACCUUUCGAAAACUGACAUGUUAGAGUUAGAGUCCACGAAAUCCUCUUCGUUCAUCACCUCAUGAAGCCUGAACGCGACUUUAGUUGGGUAAGUAACCCACUGGGGAACGACCGUCAAGUCCUCUGCCGUCUUGGCUCGGGCCUGACCGUCAAUCAGAAGAGAUGGCGGGCCAAUGAAGGCGAGGCUGGUAGCGCUGAAUAUGCUGAAGAACGCCGAUUUAACACCGAGUUGUCUCGCCUUUUGGGGUAACCAGAAAGACAUGACGUCUUGGAUCACCCAGUUGACGUCCGAGUUCACAAGGAACUCGGCAACAGCUGGCUCGAGCAUGUCGUAUGCCUUCUUAAGGUAAGGGAACAUGUUAUGCGGCAGCUCGGAGGUCGACUCGGCAGAGUCGGGGAGGCCAUGGACCCGAGGCAAGGGAAGCUCAACGAGGGUUAUCGAGGGAGGGAGGUUCUGGGGGAGGUUCUGGAGGUUUUUCAAGGUGGAGAUGAAGGAGAUGCGAUGACCCUUUCGAGCUAAGAAGGUGGCGACCUCGAGGAAGGGCAUGAGGUGGCCGUAAGCGAGCCAUGGGAACAUCGCAACGUGGAGCUUCUCUUUUUCCAUGGUGGUUUGUGGAAGGAAGUCGAAGUGGAGAGAGAAAUUUUAAAAGAGAAACCAGCUGGCGAUGGAACGCGCACGUGCCUCUAAUCGGCGCACGUGCCGGGAGAGAAUGAGAUUAGUCUCCUUCGCUACACGUGCGAUUUUUUUUGCAAGGAAAUGGCAUUGUAACGUAAGAGCGAAUGUUUGUUAUACGCAAAAGAAGAAAGCAAAAGUCUUAGGCUCCCAUUUAUUUAGCCGAAAACUAAUUCUAAAAAAAUAUUUUCUAGAUUUUUUGAUAUUCAUUCCACGGAAAAUGAAUUGAUCAGGAAAAAUAUUUUCUAUUAAUGAAAAAAAGAUUUAUAAGAUAGGAAAAACAUUUUCCACUUUUCGAGUAGGGAAAACAUUUUCAAUCGGAAAACAUUUUCCACACUCACUCUCUCUUAUCUCACACUUCUGCUGGCUCCCUCUUCUUUCUUUGUUUUUUUUUUUCCCUUCUGUUUCAACCUGUUGCCGAACACUAUGACCGUCAGCAACCAACCAUAGGCUAGCUUGAGCUGGUUGCUUGCCAGAUUAGAGAGCGUGAGCCUCUGGUGAGGCUUGAGUACUCAAGCUCACCUUUGGCCGAUCAUCGAGUGUCAGCAUGGUUGGCAACUAACUGAAGGGGUUGGCGAUUGGUCCAAGAAGAAGGAGGUAAAGAAAAAAUAAAAGGAAAAAAAAUAAGUUAAGAAAAUUAAAAUUUUGAUUUUUCUUUCUAAAAUAAAGAAAAUUAUCUAAAGGAAUACACGGAGGAAAAUCAAAUCAAAUUUUUCAUACCAAGUAGUGAAAAAUAUUUUCCUAGUUCAUUUUCAAGUUUCAACCGAAUAUUAGAAAAUAUUGUCAUUUUUCUGAAAAAUGACUUCCAAAAAAAUAAUUUCCAAAAAUACUAUAUUUUUAAUAAAACGAACGGAGUUUAAGUCUUGAGUGACCGUAAAAAAUGGCUCAUUUCAUGAUAACUUGAAUGUCUUAAAAAUAAGAACUCACCUCCCUAGGAAAAUCGAUUGAUGUACUAACACAAGUAGUUCGAGAAUGCCUUGGUCUUUAGAUAUUUGAGUCGAACGGUUUCCACAUUUGUGCCUUUUCAAUAACAACUAUCCAUUUAGAAAUCGCCUCGAUGGAAGGCAGUUAAGGGCACAACAAGGUCUACGUCAAACCUUAUGUUUGGAAAAUAUACCAUAAAUACAUGAUGGGAUUGUGUUAGUAGAGUGUGCCCAUAAUAGCCAUUGAACCUCCGCGCGUUUCUAUUGCAUGCAAACUUGAAUAAUGGGUGGGGGUUAGAUUUAUUUUACGUCAUGUUUUCCACACACGAUUCUAAUUCAUACUUGAAUCCUGUUCUUCAAUGCAUGAUUAGAUUAGUUUGUUUUUGUCAUACACGGCCCAUAUCUAAUUGAUAGGACCCGGUGUUGCCCCUUAAUGGCAAUAAUAAUCGAGGAUGGCGUCUCAAAUGAGUUUGGCCCCAUUCUAGGACCACAAGUUCAAUGACUCAAGGCUCUGCCCCUUUCAAGUGCCCGAGUGUGCUCAUCCACAUACUCGAAUUGCAACUUCAUGUUGCCAAGUAUCUCCCUCACGGCCCAUGCACUCGUCCUCGGCUCCUCUGACCCCCCUAAUCGUACCGGCUACCAAGUCACUAGUGAGUGGCCCCUCUCAUUCAUCCAUUAGCACCUCUUAUUCGACCCGCAUCUCAUCCAUCAGUCUCGCCAUCAACCGUUGGUCUGAGCUCCCAUAGUAAACAAGAUCGGCGCCUGGCCCUCCCUGGGUGCCUCUACAACCAAGCUCCAACGCGACGAUGCGCCAAGAACCCGCUGAUCGACACCCAGACUUCCGGACCCAAAAGAGAUCAUGCCGGAGCAAGCCUUCUGCCCUACUCACCUGAACAGAGGGCAAACUUAAUUGCCCCAUUCCACUACCUGGCCAAGUUUGAGGAAACUGCGCAAUUGAUUUUUCAUUAAAAUCAGGACAUAAUCAGUCCCUUAUCAUCUUGGCAAGAAAGAACAUCAAGUUUUAGCUUGAGAAGUGAUUGGGUAACGGUUUUUAAUCUACUGUGAAAAUAACAGUUUAUUCUGCACCACAAAAAAUCAAAAUUCAAAUAAUUUUAUUCUUACGGUAGCACAAAAAGUGUUGAGCUAGCCAAUCUCUUUUAGCUUUACUCAUCUCCAGGAUUAUACAUAGUAAUUGAUCCAUAAUAUGCUAAGAGUGUGAGGGAGUCAGUAACACUAAAAUUGAAUUUCUUAUUUUCACGGCUUUACUUUUUUAUUGAUAGCAAGUCAUGGCAUAAGUGACUUCUUACUUUUCGUCUUUUAGUUUUUAGGGCUUUGUUAAUAUAACAAUUUUUGGUUAUUGUAAGAAUAAUAGUUAGUUAUGAGCCACAAAUUUUUAAAGGAGUGGGCUCCAUAUCAAUUUAUUAUUUAUUAUUUGAUUUUUUAAUCUAAAAUAGAUUGUUUUUCUCAAAGUAAAUUAAAGACUACCACUCGAUCAUUUUUCUAAUUUUGACUAAAAACUAGUAUUUUGAACCGUCCGAAGGGCUAUUCCACGAUUUGUCUUAUAGUUUUUUAGCGCUAACCAACUAGAGGGAAAUACACAAAACUUUAUAGGAUGAAUGUAUAAAUGGAUAACCAUAGUGAAAUAUCUACUUAUUGUACGAAGUCAUUUAUUUAAUUUCAAACCACACGAUUAUCUUGUCUUUUCCGUACGCGGGGGAACGCACACGGCCCCAUAUCCCAUGUGCUCCCAACUAAGCUAACAUGAUCUGAGGAGGGAGCUUCUCCAGAUAGAAGGUGGCGACAUCGAGGAAGGGCAUGAGGUGGCCGUAAGCAAGCCAUGGGAACAUCGGUACGUGAAGCUUCUUCUCUUCGUUUUCCAUGGCAGUGGCUGUGAACACUACUUUUUCAUUUGACGUGUGUGGUGGUGAUGUGACUAGCGAGUGAAUUCGAAUGCAAUGGAGAAUGAGCUCUCUCUUCAUAUAUAUAUAUAUAUAUAAAAGAACUACGUAUGGUGCUUUAAAAUUCUAAUUAAUAUUGGCAUAAAUUAACUUGCGUUUAGAUGUUUAUAACUUAUUACAUGAGACUAAAGACUCCAUUCGUUUUGUGAAAAAGGUUUUUCUGAAAAACAUUUUCUGGAUUUUUCGGUAUUUGUUUCAUGGAAAAAAAACUAUAUACAUAAUCCAACAUGCCAAUAUUUGAAUUUUUUUUUUAAGGCAAGAAAGGAGUUGAAUUAAUAACGAUAUGUGAUUUAUGCAAUAUUAGUAAAGUCAAAAGUAGAGGUGGCUGCAGCCAAGGUAGCUAAUAAUUAUCUUUGAGAUUUCAUAUCUUCUCUUCAUGUGCAUUGACUUAGAUGAUUCAAGGGAGAGAAGUAACUUCUUAUUCUGUUAAACUUUUGAUGUACCAAAACAAAUAUCACACGAGAUAAACUAUCAAGAAACAAUUUAUGACCAGCUGAAAAGAUUUAGGUACUUUACUUUCCAAUUGAGGAGGGAAUAUCAUUAAUAUAAAUUGAGUGUUAUAUUUCUGUUUAGAUAAACUAUCUAAGUCAAAUAGAGUGAAUUUAGAGUUUUUUCAUUCCUAAGCAUUUGGAUUUUAUGAAUGAAUGGUGGAUAUAACUAAUAUUAUAUAGUGCAUAAAUUUGUAUAAUUUUGUUAAAAAAUUUUAGGCCCUGUUUGAUAAUCGGCCAAGCAGUGACUAUUUCUAUUCUUUUGUUACUCUGAACAAAAAAGAAACAAAAAUUUGUUUGUUAAUGUCAGUUAAUUUUUUUGUUCUUCGGAAUAAAUUUAGAAUAGAAUCAAGAAAAAAAAAGUUGCUUCUUUAUUCUUAGAUACAAUUCGAGAAUCAAGUAAUUUUCUUUAUUUUCUUCCAUUUCUUUUAUUCUUUUCUUUUUCUUAUUCCUCCUCCGCAACGCGGUGGUCGGGCUCCCUUGAGGCUAGCGAGGUAAUUGAUUCUAGUUUGGCUGGAGAUAAGCUAAAGGAAGAAGAAGAGGAGGAAAAAAAGAAAAGAAAAAAAUUGAGAAAAUAUAAUAAAAUUAUUAAAAAAAUUAAAAAAAUUCUAGGUUACAAAAAAAUUGAGAAUUGUAUAAACGCAUUUUUAUUUCGAAAAUAAAAAUUUAUAAUUACUAAAGAAUUUCAAAUACUCAAAAAACUUAUCCUGGAAAUAGAAUAAAAAAAAUUUUGAGUAGAAAUUAUCCUCAUAAAUAGAAUAAUUACUAAAUAGGUCUUUAGUGGAACUUGAGGUGAAUCCGAUGAAUUUUGGAAAAAUUAAUUUACUUGAUCUAAUAAAGAAGCUCUAAUUUGAGGGCAGCGACGCGAGCUUGUUUAGCAACACGCAUUUGUUCAGUGUUAUCAGCCAUUGUUGCCCUAGAACGAGUACGGAUUGGCAAUCUUGGGUGAGCCAUGUUGUUACCUAUCAAUGUAAAAAAAUACAGUAAGCAUGAUAACAAAUGAGAUUGAUCCAUGACAACGGUCACUCGUUUAUUUUAUUAAGUGAAAUCAAAUUCCAAAGACAUCAACUUAAAACGUUAAAAUAACUCCCUAGGAAAUUAAAUUCCUAAAACAUCAAUCUAAGAAAUUGAAAUAACACCUUAAAGCCAGAACUAAACUCCUAAAUCUAGCGACUCUUUUCCAUAUACAAUUGGGAGAUCACAGUAGUUUGAAGCUUCUUGUUCUGCCAAACCAACUUUGAGAUUCGAGCCUCCUUCCUUUCCACCGUUUCUUCAAGACGUUCAAUUUGUGCUUUACGAGUGGGCUUCAUGGUCACUUCAGGUAUCACGGGAAGUAGAGCUUGAGGGAUCUCAUGAUGGUGGAUAUAAUAAUCCGAGGCAUGAAAAACCCUCUCUUUUCCUUUCAAUCUUCUAGGCACCACUAUUUUUUCCGGAUGGCAUUCCUUCCAUGCAUUUUCAAGACGCUCGAUCUCAUUGAGGUAUUUGUGAUCCUUGCGCACGAAGCGGGCUUGAAACAGAUCCACUCGGAGAGGAGGUGGGAUAUCUUGGAGUACUCGAUACUGGCGGGCCGCUCUAUAAGGAUAGAAAGAUGUUACACCAAUAAUUCCCAUAAGUGGAAUUGGAUUAUCUGUCUUGCAAGAGAAACGAGCCACGCUAACAUGGAACCAUUUAGCAUACCAUAGGAAGCUCAUGAGAUCUGGAUCUUUAAGAAAAGUCACCCAAUAGAAAAAUGAUUUUCUAGUAUACUUUUUCUCUAAGAUUGAAAAUCUCUUUAUUGGGUAACUAGAAUCAUCAAUUUCACCUCGAUGCAUGUGUCGCAACCUCUUUUUUUUCGGCGUCUGCAAUCGGGUACGGGCGCCUAAGGAGGCUAAUGGCUCGGCUGAAAUUAAUUAUGCCCGGACUCUCCCAAGUCCACCAAUUCACGACUUUAAUAGUUUGAGUUUUUAACCUGUAAAUCAAAUUUUAAAUUGGAGUCGCCACUAAUCGAUUUGGGGUGGGUUGAUUAGAAACCCAAGUGAAGUAUCGGGAGAAAUACUCACUCCUGCGCAACCAGAGAAAUUAGGAUCGGGGACUUGAUUACACUAGUUAAUCACUAAUGCCAUUUCGGUACCUAAUCUUGUUUAAAUCCUGAGGUUUUUUGGAUGUUCGAGGGGUUUUCCAUGCAUUUUUGGGAGGAAAAACAUUUUUUGAGUCAUUUUCUAAUUUUUUGGACACAAAAGGGAUUUUUUGGGGUUUUUUGGUAUUUUUUUUGGAAAAAUACAAGUCUUUUUGGUUUUUUCUGAAUUUUUUGGCUUUUUCAUGAAUUUUUGGCUUUUUUUUGGAUUUUUGGCAUUUUUUGGAAAAUAUGAAAUAUUUUUGAUAUUUUUGAUUUUUCGAAAAAUAAAUAUUUUUAAUAUAUUUUUUCGAUUUUUUUUUGGAAAUUAAAACAUUUUUCGGUUUUCUAGAAAUUAAAAUAUUUUUAAUAUUUUUUUAUAAAUAAAUUAUUUUUGAUUUUUUCUUUUUUAUUAAAAUAUUACAUAAUAUAAUAUAAAAAAAGCCAACCCGGUUUGGAUCCGCUGCUUGGGUCCGACCUGGGUCGGCCCAAAACGCAGACGGGCCUGCUACGCGGGCCUGACUUUUUUUUUUUUUUUUCAAAAACGACGUCGUGGCCGGGCGUUUGGGGACGCUCGGCCCGGCCCGACGACCUGGAUCCAUUGACCCGCUCUGCGACCCGGCUACCUGCGAACCCUACCCGACCCAGAUCCGAAUCGUGACCCGACUCCCGCCGCCCCUCGAAUCUCGCGAAACCCUACCCGGUUCCGAGACCCGGAUCCGACUCGGCGACCCGGAAAAAUCGCAAACCCUAGGGUUUGCGAAUCCGUGGCGCCGAGGGGGGGAACCGAGGUGCUUGGCGGCGACGGCGACUACGGCGGUGACGACGAAGACGAUGGGAACCACGACGACAGCGACGCCGACAGAAUGGGGGUGCGAUGGGCGGCAGGGACGGCAGCAACGGUUUUUACCUUUUCUCGAACGGAGGCGAUGACGGCGACGACAGGAGUUGAUCUGCGAUGGUGGCGGCCGCGGCGAGGGCAGACUGAUGGCGGCGACCGUGGCGGAUGACGACGGCGUCAGCGAGGCUUGGGCUCCGUCGAUUUGAUUGGGGCUCUCUCUCUCGGGCUCGGGCUCGCUCUUUGAGCUUUGGAGGAGAGGCAGCUCGAGGGGGACAGUAGCAGCAGAUGGCGUUGGGAUCUCAGUCGGGGCGAACAGCGGUGGCAUAGCGUCCGGCAGCAACAGCAACAGCUAAAAAAGACUAGAUCUGAGGCGCAGAUCUCGCGAAACCCUACCCUCGGCCUCAAUCUUCUCUCACUCAGGCCAGAUCCGAGCCUCCACCAGCCGGAUCUGACCUUCUCGAGGUCGCUUGCCGCCUGCCUUCCCCGAAGUCUCUCGGUGGAAGGUGGGCUGAGCUCGCGACUCGAGCUCUCUCCUGCGCUUGCCCUUCAACCCUUCCCGAUGUCUCUCAGUGAAGGAUCUCCGAGCUCGCCACGCCCUCCGACGAUGCUUGCGGCCACCUAUUUAUAGGCGAAGGAACUCCGGUCGACGGAGGGGCUCGGUCGCUGGCCUCCGGCUUGCCCACCGGUUCCGCUUGGCUGAACCGGUGUCCCAUCGAGCUUUCCAGCGAAGCUCGCUCACCAUUAAUGGCGCCUGCGAUCUUAUCCCCUCCGGCCAACGUCGGCCUACACUCCUCGGCCGUAGGCCGUCCUUCGCGUGUUGGCCUCCCUCGCGCGCGUGAGUUGCAGCGGCGAAGGAAAGGGAAGGAGGAAGAAGAAGAGAGAAAGGGGCCGGGCCGGGGGGUGAAGGAAAAUGGGCCGUAGGGGCCACGCGGAGGGAGAAGAGAAGGAGAAAAAGAUGGGCUGGGCUUUUGCUUUGCUUUUGUUUUGUUUAUUAUUAUUUACUAUCUGAAAAAGACAAAUAAAUGUAAAAAAAAAAAAACCUAAUUAAUUAAAAAUGAAAUUUAGGUGUCAACAGCAUGAAAUGACCAAACUCCUUCAUGUGAGAAAGAAACCAAAUUUGUAAAAGUUUAGGAGAGGCAUUCAUGAUUUUUUCUCCAUUUUGUUUAAAACGGUUGAUGGACAAAAAUGUCUCAGCCAAAAUCAUGUUUAUAAAGUUCAUGCCAGCGCAUGCUUGUCUGACCACCCGUGCAAUUGAAGGAUUAAUGGCAUUUUGUCGAUGAGGAAAGAUUAUAAAUCCAAAGAAUGCUAAGAUGAAUAUCCUACCCUUUGGCGCAUUGAAGAUUGAUUUAAAAAAUGAUCAGCCAAAAAGGAGAAUGGGCAUGCGUUACAAUUAGCUUUCAAAACUUUCUUAACCUCAUCAGUUUUAAUUCUUAGAAAUUGAGAUAAAAUCGAUGUGCGCUCCAUACCAAGAGGUGGCCUAACAAGUUCAGUCUCAAUGGGCAUUCCUAUGAUAACGCUAUACUCUUCCAGUGUUGGAGUUAGCUCAUUUUUACCAAAAAUAAAUGUAGCCGUCUCGAGACACCAAAAGUGUGAUAUAGUUUGCAAAACACCACUAUGGACUCCAAUAUCCAAAAGGGGGAUGAGCCGUCCCAGUAUCGACUCCACAUAAUCCUGACCUUCUUUACUUAAUUUGCCCUCUGAGCUCAAUCUUGGGAGUUGUAAUGAAUUGAACAUUGGAUCUCCCCAUUGUAUAUAGAUUAAAACUCACGAUCGACCUUUUGUCAUGGACCAAAAGAAAGUGCAAUAAAGUAAAUAAAUUGCAUAUUAUAAGGUAAGAAUACUUACUUCACAAAAAAAAAAAAAAUGGCAACCACAUUGACAGGCGCAUGAGAUGUGAGGCUUAACACCUAAACUACAAGGCUUAGCAAGUUAGAGCUAAGAGGAUGGGCCGACUAGUCACAGUCUUGAGUAUAAAUGUCAGGUCCUCUUAACUAUGGCUCAGUCAAAAGAAAAUCCCAUGGUCGCAUAGUUUUGCGAACAAGGAUAAACGUUUUGACACCAAGAAAAAUUUUCGGGGUUGAGAAAGGUAACCUUUACAUUGCGGUCUCGCGUUCAAGGUUGAUUCAUUUCUCAACACCAUCCUAGAAUCCUUAAAUGCGGUCCAGGUCCGACGGCAGGUUGUGUGUGCAAUGUGUAGUGCUAAAACAAUUUGAAAAUCAUAAACAACAAUUUAUAAUGCAAGCAACACUUCAAUAUAUAAGAAAAACAUUCAAUCCCAACACCUUCCUACAAAACAAAGAGUCAACAAGCACUGCUCCCCUUAUACCUCAUUUCUGUAAAAAUAUUUAACACUUUAUGUUAGGAGCGUACCUUGUUUCCAUGCUGUCAAACAAAAUAUUUAAAAAAAAAGAAAAAAAAGAAACAGGCCUAUGUCCACUAUGAGUUUUAACUCUCCUUAGUGGAGUCGUCAAGCUGUCACGACGUCCUCAAGGGUGAAUUACUUAAAGAAAGCUAAUGGAUUACUAAGUCUGAAGAUUUGGCGCGGACCCUCCUAAGUCCUACCAAUCGCAACUUGAUACUAAUGAAUUAACCCAUUUAAUCAUGCAAUUAUACUCAAUUUGGAGCCGCCACUAACCAAUUAGGUUUGGUUAGAAACCCAAGUAAAAUAUGGGAGAAUAUUUUACUUUUACGAACCAGAGAUUCAAUAGGUCUAAGGACAUGGUUACGCCAAAAAAAUCUAACGCCCUUUCGGUACCUUGUCAUUUUCAUUUCAAAAAUAUUUUGCAGGCAGUCUUGAUUAAUUUUAACCUAAGCUACUAACAUGCUAAGGAUGGUCAUGCAGGUGCACAAUUAAUGAAAUAACAUUCAAUAAACCGAAGUGAUAAAUUGUAAGAAAUUAUAAACUACAACUUGAUUAAGGUCCACUCUCUAAAGAAAAACUUACAAAAAUGCUAAUCAAAAUACAUGCCCUAAACAUGAUAUCUAAUUUUUUAUUUUUCUCCUUUUUUUAAUAUUAUUAAAUGUAAACUUAAUUUAGAUUUGACAUGCAUGAAUUUUACUUUAAUGAUAUGUGAGAUGCAAUUCAUGUGUCAUAACUUGAACUAUCACUAUAUGUAUGCAAUCUAAUUUACAUAACCCUAAAUAUGCAUGUGCUAUAUGAUAUGGGAUGUAUGACGUGGUAAUUCCAUAUGCAUGUUCUUUUUAUGAUUUUUUAAUGAUUUUUUUUAUUACACAUAUGCAACCUGCACUAACAAUGAUGAUAUGAAAUGGGAUUAAUUAUAAACUAACCUAUUAACUAAACAAAUAAAUGACUUUUGUAUUUUCUUUUUGACAAUAUAAUGAUGCAAUACCAAUCUUUGGCCUUUUUUUUUAUUAUUAAAAACAACUACACACGGGAAUAUUAAAACAUUAGCCUAUGACCCACUAACUAAAGCGCAACGUGUGGUGUGCACAUUAUGAAAUCUAUAUAACCUAAAUAACAUUUUUUAUUUUUUAUUUUUGUUUUGAUUUUAUUAAAGGAAAAUUAUCCUAAUUCUAUAUGAAUCUUAAAAAUUAAAAUGCGUUGCUUUAAACAUGAGAUAUGUGUGGACUUAAAUACCUAAGUUCUAUAAUUCAUGAUAUAUGAUGAGCAAAUAACGAUGACAUGCCAAAAUAAAAAGAAAAAAAAUCCAUCCAUGUAAAUCAAUGGCAUAUUAUUUUAAUAUGAAUCAAUGAUGCAAAGCAAUUCAUGAAUUUUGCCAUAAAAAGUCGAAAUAAUAAAAAAUCUAACCUGACGUCUCGCGGCUCAAUAUUUUUGAUUAUCAUGACUUAAUAUGACCAAUUUCCUAAAUCGGGUAAUGAUAAUAAAUCAAAACAAAUCAAGUUAGAAUAAAAAGAAAACUAUGAGUCCAAAUACUCAAAAUAAACUUAAUCUAAAAAUCUACCUAGUCUACCUCACGAUUAACUUGAGGAAUGUCGAAGAAACAGUGGUGGCCGAGCUGCGAUGGUGGUUCGGUAAUGGGUCGCCGCUCGAAACAGGGGUUGUUCAUCAGAACUCCGGCGAGGCUCGGGUGAUAACUGGACUUGCAACAAAAACAGGGGAGGCAGCAGGUGGCUCUAUUCGGGUGUGCAGCAGCGAGCAGAGGAGCAGCAACGUCAGGCGCAAGGCUGUGGCGUGAGCGGAGCGGGUUGCAGCUCGGCGAAGCUUCAGGUCGGCGUCGGGACUCCGGUGAAGGCAAGCGGUGGCACGGCGAGCGUCGGUGGAUGGCGAGUGGAGCGGUGAGGUGCGCUGCGGGCGUCGGGCGCGCAGUAGCUCGGACCACCAGCGAUGGGCGUCGCGGGCAGAGGAUUCCAGGUGCAGGCGUCGGCUGAGUGGAGACGGGCGUCGGUGCUCAAGCAGAGGCACCGAAUUCUGGUGUUGCUGUAGUCGGUCAAGUGGUGUUGCUUGGUUGCAGUGCUCAAAGGGGGGAAUCGCCUGGAUCGGCGUCGGGCCGUGGGCGUCGUCGGCGAAGGGCACGUCGGAGGCAGAGUAGCGCAGGAGGUCUGGGCGCUGCAACGGACGAACCAUCGAGGAAGAAGAACAAUUUUAUUCUUUCCUCCCCUUUUUUUUAAUUUUUCUAUCACCUGACACUCUCUCUCACCUGUCUCUUUCACUCUCUGUCGAACCCUCCCCCACUCUCACCUUUUUUGACUUUUCUCUCACAAAAACUCUAUCCCCUUGUGUGAAUACUUCGAAGACUCAUCCCAAAAGUCCCCCAUUAAACCUCACCAUAGUUUGCCAAAUUCUCUCACCAUGAAAACACACAAACACUUUUCGCUAAUUUCUUCAGCCCUCCCUUGGUUCCGAAACAUCACCUUCUUUUUUAUAGAGGAAAGACUCGAAGUUGUUGAAGAUUUCCCAAUAUUCACUCAACUUCUUCAACAAAAAAGUUGCUCCAAAAUCACAUGUGUUGAAUUUUUUUGAAUUCAAUUUUUUUUUUCAAGAUUUCCCUCUAUAAUUAAAGAUUAUCUUCUAUUUCUAAGAGAUGAGUUUACAUUAGGUGUCAACAAAUGACAGCCACAUUGGCUUUAAACAGGUCAUUACACAAGUACCAUUUUCCGACAUACAUCCCUCUUUUCGAAAGUACAAACUUGUCAGAUUCAAAUACAAUUUUGAAACCUUUCUUAACAAGUAUGGGGCCAGAGUUUAGGUUUUUCCGAAUCUCUAGUACAUGCAGCACAUUCAGCAGGGCAACCUCCUUACCAGAUGUAAACUUCAGGAUCACUUUUCCUCUUUUAACAAUCUUUGCUGAUGCAGAGUUAGCCAUAUAAAGCUUUUCAUCUUCUUCAGCCUUCUCAUAAGAUGAGAACAUGUGUUUAUCUGCACAGAUGUGAUUUGUGGCACAUGUGUCUAGCCACCGACCAUUAGUGUUCGACACUAGAGAUGCUUCAAAUAUUACCACAACAGACAAUCUCUCAAUAUUGUCAUGUUCUGUCAAAAUUUAGUUGCUGGGCUGCACCAUCGUUUUUGACUUUUUUUGGGCAGUUCUUGCAAUCCUUAGCACGAUGGCCAGGCUUGUUGCAUAUAAAACACGUCCCUUGAAAUUUCUGGAACUGUUCCUUCUGCUUGCCUUUUCUUUGAAAAAACAUCUUCAUUUUUCUAUCUUGCUUGGAUUUGGAAGAUUGCACAACGUUGGCCUUUAGCUCAGAAGAAGGGUUAGCACUCCUUCUAUUGUCCUCCUUGAUUCUAAGGCACAUAAUGAGAUCUUCAAGACUCAUCUCUUUCCGUUUGUGCUUCAAAUAAUUUUUGAAGUCUGAUCAACUCGAAGGCAGUUUCUCAAUCAUAGCCACCACUUGGAAUGAUUCACUAAGUAUCAUUCCCUCAGCAGAGAUGUCACUUAGAAUUAGUUGUAAUUCUUGAAUCUGACUCAUGACAGAUUUAGAAUCCACCAUCUUGUAGUCCAAGAAUUUGACAACCACAAAUUUCUUAGUGCCAGCAUCCUCAGUGUUGUAUUUCUUCUCUAAGGACUCCUAUAACUGUUUAGCAGAUUCAAUAUUACAAUAAACAUUAUAAAGAAAAUUCACUAAACAGUUAAGGAUGUAAUUUCGGCAUAAGAAAUCUCCAUGCUUCCAAGCCUCCAAUGCACCGAGCGUCAUGACAUCGUGCUCAUCUAGACUAAUUACAAGGCACACCUCCGAUAAAUACUUCGUCAGAUUUAGCAUAGUCAGAUAGAAGAACAUCUUCUGUUGCCAUUGUUUAAAGCCCACUCUGGUGAAUUUCUCCGGUUUCUCAUUAGUUGUAACUAGAGGUGUUGCCAUCACAGUAGGCAAAGUUUGUUGAACUAUCCCCUAUAAACGGAGCCAAAAGCCAUUUGGCUUGUACUAUUCUGAAAAAAAAGCCCCACGCAAACCAGUCGUAUGACUUGUACCCACACCACCAAAAUUGGUGUUGGCCUAAGGGCCCGUAGCAUUGGUUGCUACAAAUUCAAACCCUGAGGGUUGAACAUCUUCCAUAGAAAAGGUCGAAUCAACCAUAGGAAUGUCUCUUGAAACAUUCGGGACAUUGAAGGGCACAUAAUUGUUUUCAAUCAUCUCAAUAAUUUGACAAGAACAACAAACAAUGAGUGAUCUAAUCGCCUUAAAAUUGUUGGAAAUCAAUCCAGAGAAACCAAAUUGUUUGUUAUAAUCAGAACAGCAAUGUAAAGAAGAUGAUAGCAACUUUAUAAUAUUCUUCAUUUUACAAAUCUUGGAGAAGAAGAAAAUAAGAUAAAACAUAAAAUUGAAGGUGAGGUAUGGAUAUCCGAAUCUCCUUAAGGCGAUUAAUUCCUGCCAAUGGUGCUCUGUAGAUUCACGAACUAUGCCUCCCAAGAUAUAAUACAUCAAACCUGUUUGGAUUAGCACUAUGCAAACAAGGCUCAGUCGAACCGUUCAAUUGAACCAGCGUACCCAGAAAAAUCAAAAGAGUAGAAAAUGAUACCAAAGCUCUUUAAGAAUCGAAUUGGGAAAACCAAAAAACCCAAAAACUCUAUUGAAGCUUUAUGCUCCCAUCUAUUUAUAGAGAUUUUUAGUUCAUGUAAAGAAGAGAUACAUGAAUUAAAUAGACGAAUGUAUUCACGAAAUUCAUGAAUCAAGAGAUACGUGAAUCCAAGAGAUUCAUGAAUCCAGAGACACGUGAAUUUAAGAGAUUCGUGAACUCAAUAAAUACAUGAAUCUAGGAAAUUCAUAAAUUCAAUAGAUACGUGAACAUAAAAGUUUAGGAAAUUUAUGAAUUCAAUAGAUAUGUGAACAGAAAAGACGUAUCUUAAUUUAUUGGCUUUCGUUGAUCCAUUAACCAUUUAUGACAUCUACAACCAAGCUCCAACGCGACGACGUGCCAAGAACCCGGCGAUCGACUUUGCCCAACGAAUGUUUAAUCUUGAAAGACUCAACGCCAUAUCUUUUCUUUUUCUUUUUUGGUUUCUUUUCGUUGGGCAAAUUUUUCUUCUAUUCUCUAGAAUGGAUAUUGAAAGAACGAUGUGAUUCUUUUUCCAAAUAUACUAAUCUUCUAACUCAUCACUUCCCGUAAGUCAAUUUUCAACCAUCAAAGAAUAAUAGGCUUGGGCCAAUUUAUUUUCUCCGUGGGCUUAGUCCAACUUGUCAAAUUAAAAAUGAGAACCAUUUAUUAAAACUCAUCCAUCCUGGCCCAAUGCAAAUACAAUAAUAAAAAAUAAAUGCUCUUAAAAAUAUAUGCUAUGCAACUUAAUUCUCAUAUUUUUGUUUAGUGGUUAAAAAUUAAUCCUUAAUUUUUUAUGCGAUAAAUGAAUGAUUGGAUUGCUAAAAUUUAUAUAUUAACAUCACUCUUGCAUCUAUGCCUUUGGUGAAUUUCAUGAAGGAGAUAAUUUCGAGUAGGAUUUCUACAUUAUCAUUUUUAUCGGUAGUUUAUACAAAUCAUCGAUAGUGCAUUAAUUGUAAUAUUUUCCUACCUUAAAAAAAAUCUUCGCGUUGUUGAAGAAGAUGGAUUGACGAGAAAUAUCUCUGUUGGCAAUAGAAAAUGUUUAGGCAUAAUUAGUUAUGAUGAUACAAACAUUUUCAACUGACUAAUAUUUCUGCUCGUUAAUAAUGAUCUUUUAUUUUUUAGGAAAAUAUUUAUCAAAUUAUGCAACUUGUCACAUAGUGCAAUCGGCUUGAUCUAAUGCAGUGAGCCUAUGCAACACUUCCUAGACAAAAAAAAAUUCUGCAAUUGGUCGCAUAAUGCAAUUGACUUAAUCUGAUCAAGUGAGCCACAACAUUUGCUAGGAAAAAAAAAAAAAAAACUCAUGGUUGGGUUCAUAGUAGUGUAAUGAACCCAUUCUCCCACAUUUCUUUAGAAUAAUAGUUUGAGAAUGCCUAGUUUGGUUGGGUUUUCCCAAGGGGCUUUGAGCCCUCAAAGCCCCUUGGGGAAAUUUUUUUGUGUUUGGCAAGUGUUUUUGAAUACUCAUUUGCCAAAUGUGGGCAUUCUCAAUGCUGAAAGCCAAAUGCUGGGAAGUGGUGCUUUGGGCAUUAGGCAUUUUGGAAAUGCAACGUGUCACUGUUCAUCGUCUCUCCCCCUUCAUCUUCUUCUCUACCCUUUUCAAGUGCUCGAGCGAACUCCUCCAAAUAUUUCAAUUGCGACUCCACGUUACCAAAUAUCUCCCGCAUGGCCCAUGCGUUCGCCCUCACUUCCUCUCCCUCUGGCUCUACCAUGACCCACUUUAUCGUCUCGGCGACCGAGUCACUCGUGAACGACCCAUCCCGGCUGUCCCUUGGCACUUCCGACCCAACCCGCCUCUCGUCCAUUAGCCUCGCCAUCAGCCCUUGGUCGGAGCUCCCCCCAGAAAAUAGGAUCAGUGCCCGGCCUUGCCCGAGUGCCUCUAUGACCGAGCUCCACCCGCAGUGCGUCAAGAACCCGCCAAUCGACGGGUGGGCCAGGAUGUCGAGUUGAGGAGCCCAGCCCACCCAGACGAGGCCUCGACCUGAGACCCGGCUUUCAAACCCAGAAGGGAUACUGCUGGGGCCAGCCUUUCGGCUUAUCACCCAGACGAAGGGCAAACCUGACUUUUCAAUCCCACGUGCCAGCUCGUGCAUUAACUCUUGACUCAAAGCCACCUCGGUGCCAAGGGCGACGUAGAACACUGACUUCCCUUCCUUACCAUCCAACCAUUGCUUGAGCUCGCUCCAUCUCCCGUCUCCUUCGUGGCGGCUUUUAUUCUGGGGUGACAAAAGCCCCAUCGGAACCACGGGUCUUGCGUAAAACUUCUUGAGUAGACUCAACGGCUCGGCCUCGAACUCGCUACAGGUCCUUAUGGCCACGAUAUCGCAUCCCUGUAUCGACCUGCCAAACCUUUCGAAAACCGACAUGUUAGAUUUAGGGUCCACGAAAUCCUCUUCGUUGAGCACCUCAUGAAGCCUAAACGCGAUUUUAGUUGGGUAAGUAACCCACUGGGGAACGACCGUCAAGUCCUCUGCCGUCUUGGCUCGGGCUUGAUUGUCAAUCAGAAGAGAUGGCGGGCCAAUGAAGGCGAGGAUGCUGGCGUUGAAUAUGCUGAAGAACACCGAUUUAACACCGAGUUGUCUCGCCUUUUGGGGUAACCAGAAAGACAUGAAGUCUUGGAUCACCCAGUUGACGUCCGAGUUCACAAGGAACUCGGCAACAGCUGGCUCGAGCAUGUCGUAUGCCUUCUUAAGGUAAGGGACCAUGUUUUGCAGCAGCUCGGAGGUCGACUCGGCAGAGUCGGGGAGGCCAUGGACGCGAGGCAAGGGAAGCUCAACGAGGGUUAUCGAGGAAGGGAGGUUCGCGGGGAGCUUUUGGAGGUUUUUCGGGGUGGAGAUGAAGGAGAUGCGAUGACCCUUUCGAGCUAAGAAGGUGGCGACCUCGAGGAAGGGCAUGAGGUGGCCGUAAGCGAGCCAUGGGAACAUCGCGACAUGGAGCUUCUCUUUGUUUUCCAUGGCAGUGUGUGGAAGGAAGACGAAGUGGAGAGAGACUUUAAAAGAGAAACCAGCUUGCGGUGGAGCGCGCACGUGCCUCUACUCGGUGCACGUGCCGGGAGUGAAUGAGAUUAGUCUCCUUCGCUACACACGUGCGAUUUUGCAAGUAAAUAGCAUUGUAACACGAGAUCGAAUGUUUAUUAUACGCAAAAGAAGAAAGCAAAAGUCUUAGGCUCCCAUUUAUUUAGCCGAAAACUACUUCUAGAAAAAUAUUUUCUAGAUUUUUCAAUAUUCAUUUCACAGAAAAUGAAUUGAUCGGGAAAAAUAUUUUCUAUUAACGAAAAAAAGAUUUAUAAGAUAGGAAAAACAUUUUCCGCUUUCCAAGUAGGGAAAACAUUUUUAAGUGGAAAACAUUUUCCACACUCACUCUCUCUUUGUCUCACACCUCUACUGGCUCCCUCUUCUUUCUUUCUUUCUUUUUUUUUCCCCUUUUGUUUCAACUAGUUGCCGAACACUAUGACGGUCGGCAACCAACCAUAGGCUAGCUUGAGCUAGUUGCUUGCCAAAUUAGCAAGCGUGAGCCUCUGGUGAGGCUUGAGUACUCAAGCUCACCUUUGGCUGAUCACCAAGUGUCACCAUGGUUGGCAAUUGAUCGAAGGGGCUAGCGAUCGGCGAAGAAGAAGGAGGUAAAGAAAAUAUUAAAAAAAAUAUAAAAAGAAAAAAAUAAGUUAAGAAAGUUAAAAUUUUAAUUUUUUUUUAAAUAAAUAAAUAAAAUUAUCUAAAUGAAUGCACGGACGAAAAUCAAAUCAAAUUUUUCAUAUCGAGUGGAGAAAAAUAUUUUCCUAGUUCAUUUUCAAGUUUUAACCGAAUAUUAGAAAAUAUUGUUAUUUUUCUGAAAAAUGAUUUCCCAAAAAAUAAUUUCCAUAAAUAUAUAAUUUUUGUAAACGAACAGAGUUUAAGUCUUGAGUGACCGUAAGAAAGGGCUCACUUUGUGAUAACUUGAAUGUCUCAAAAAUAAGAACUCACCUCCUUUGGAAAAUCGAUUGAUGUACUAACACAAGUAGUUUGAGAAUGCCCUGGCCUUUAGAUAUUUGGGUCGGACGGUUUCCACAUUUGUGCCUUUUCAAUAACAACUAUCCAUUUAGAAAUCACCUCGAUGGAAGGUAGUUGAGGACCUAACAAGGUCUAAGUCAAACCUUUUAUUUGGAAAAUAUUCCAUCUGUACAUGAUGGGAUUGGGUUAGUAGAGUACGCCCAUAAUAGCCAUUGAAUCUCCGCGGGUUUCUAUUGCAUGCAAACUUGAAUAAUGGGUGGGGAUCAGAUUUAUUUUACGUCAUGUUUUACGCACACGAUUCUAAUUCAUACUUGAAUCCUGUUCUUCAAUGCAUGAUUAGGUUAGUUCGUUUUUGUCAUACAUGGCCCAUAUCUAAUUAAUGGACCGGUGUUGCCCCUUAAUGGCAAUAAUAAUUGAAGAUGGCGUCUCAAAUGAGUUUGGCCCCAUUCUAGGACCACGAGUUCAAUGACUCAAGGCUCUGCCCCUUUCAAGUGCCCGAGUGUGCUCAUCCACAUACUCGAAUUGCAACUUCAUGUUGCCAAGUAUCUCCCUCACGGCCCAUGCACUCGUCUUCGGCUCCUCUCCCUCUGGCUCCACUGACCCCCCCUAAUCGUCCCGGCUACCGAGUCACUAGUGAGUGGCCCCUCUCAUUCAUCCGUUAGCACCUCUUAUUUGACCCGCAUCUCAUCCAUCAGUCUCACCAUCAGCCGUUGGUCUAAGCUCCCAUAGUAAACAAGAUCGGCGCCUGGCCCUCCCUGAGUGCCUCUACAACCAACCUCCAACGCGACGACGCGCCAAGAACCCGCUGAUCGACACCCAGACUUCUGGACCCAAAAGAGAUUAUACCGGAGCAAGCUUUCUGCCCUACCCACCUGAACAGAGAGCAAACUUAACUGCCCCAUUUCACUGCCUGGCCAAGUUUGAGGAAACCGCGCAUUUGAUUUUUCAUUAAAAUCAGGGCAUAAUCGAUCCCUUAUCAUCUUGGCAAGAAAGAAUGAUCAAGUUUUAGCUUAAAAAGUGAUUGGGUAACAAUUUUUUUUUAUCUAUUAUGAAAAUAAUAAUCUGUUUUGCAUCACAAAAAAUCAAAUAACAAAUAAUUUUAUUCUUAUGGUAGCACAAAUUAAGCUAGCCAAUCCCUUUUAGCUUUACUCAUCCCCAAGUUUAUACAUAGCGAUUGAUCCAUAAUAUGCUAAGAGUGCGAGGGAGUUGGUAACACUAAAAUUGAAUUUCUUGCUUUUAGGUUUUUGCUAUUUUCUUGAUAGCAAGUUAUAUUACUUUUCAUGGCAGAAGUAAUUUCUUGCUUUUCGUAUUUUAGUUUCUAGAGCUUUGCUAAUAUAAGAGAAAAACAAUUAGUUAUGAGCCACAAAUUUUUAAAUGAGUGUGCUCCAUAUUAAUUUGUAAUUAUUUGUUAUUUGAUUUUUUUGUGAUCUAAAAUAGAUUAUUAUUCUCAAAGUAAGUUAAAAAUUGUUACCCACCUCAUUGGUGGUUACGUGGUUUGUGCUCAAUCUCUCUACUGGAAGGGAGCGAGUUCAAAUUUCUGCAUUUGCUUGUGCGACUAAACUACAGUUCGUGGGAGGUGGGUCCUCGCGGGUUGCCCCCGGUUUACGUCGCCGGCUGCCGGCUAUACGGCAGUUCCCGGUCAUAAAAAAAAAAAAAAAUUGUUACUCAAUCAAUUCCUUAGUUUUUACUAAAAACUAGUAUUUUGGCCUGUGUGAGGGGCUAUUCCACUAUUUAUCUUAUAAUUUUUUUAGCGCUAACCAACUGGAGGGAAAUACAUAAAACUUUAUAGGAUGUAUGUACAAACGGAUAACCAUAGUGAAAUAUCUGCUUAUUGUACGAAGUCGUUUAUUUAAUUUCAAACCACACGAUUUUCUUGUCUUUUCCAUACGCGGGGAACGAACAUGGCCCCAUCCCAUGUGCUACCAACUAAGCUAACAUGAUCUGAGGAGGGAGCUUCUCGAGAUACUCGUUUUGCAGCUCGAAAUUGCCAAAUAUGGCUGCGUUUGGGAGUGGCAUUUGCAAGCCACUUUAAAUCCCCAAAGCUCUUUGGGCUAAUUUGUGGGUGUUUGGUAAAAAUUUCCAAACCCCAUUUGGGGAAUGCCAAGCAUUCCCAAGGCUGAAAGCCCAAGGCAGGUGGGGGGCUGCCUUGGGCUUUCAACCUUCUCGGCAUGCUGAGCUGAGCUUAAAUAAAAAAAUUUCCUUCCCAAAUUGUUCCCGUUGAUUUUUCGUUUUUCCCUUUUUACCUCGACUGUUUAUCUUCUUCUUCUUUCUUCUUCGUGAGCGGUUGCCGACGAAGGGCACGCAAUCGCCAGCGACCGUCAUGCCCGCCACACCACGACCUCCGCCGUGGCCGCGCGACCCUUCGGCGAGGGUAGCGUGACCCCGCUCGAGAGGUCGCCGCGAAGGUCGCGACCGCGACCCAUUUGGUCGCAGAUCUGGUCGCCGGCAGCGACCUUCGCGCUGUGACCAGAUGGGUCGCCGGUUGCGACCUUCAAGCGACCUUCGCGGAGGUUGCAACGCAAAUCUGCGUCGCCGGCCGUGCUUCAGGCGACCUCCGCGGAGGUCGCGACCUUUGCAACACCCAUCUGGUCGCGACCUUUGCGCUGCGACCAGAUGGGUCGCCGACCACGACCUUCGCGGAGGUCGCGACCUUCACGCGACGCAUCUGGUCGCAGAUUUGGUUGCGACCACGCCGGCCGCAACCUUCACGACCAGAUGGGUCGCCGGCGACCUCUGCGGCGCGGUGGGUCGCACGACGGCGUGGCGAGGGUCGCCGCGACCCUCGCUGAAUUUCCUAUCCUUGGCCGGCGGUGACCGGUGAAGCCCUUGGCUGGCGAAGCCUUGGCCGGCCAACGUUUUUUUUUUUUUUUAAUAAUAAAAGUAUUUUACAAAUUUAAUUUACCAAAACAUUAUUUUGCACAAAGAUAUUUCACAAUGGACUUUCACAAAUAAAUUUACCAAACACGCUUUGCAUUUUGAAAAACACCCUUAACUCAAAGGCCUUUACUUUUUCUCAAGGACUUUUCCCAAAAUCUUCCCAAACGCACCCUAUGUCCCUCAUGGUCCAUGCCUUUGCCCUCACCUCCUCUCCCUCCGGCUCGACCAUGACCCGCCUGAUCGUCUCAGCCACCGAGUCGCUCGAGAACGACCCGUUGAGCUCGUCCCUCAGCAGCUCAAACCCGACCCCUCUCUCUUCGAGCAGCCUCGCCAUCAACCCUUGGUCGGAAUUCGCCCCAGAAAACAGAAUCAGCGGCCGGCCUCGCCCGAGCGCCUCGAUGGCGGAGCUCCAACCGCAGUGGGUCACGAACCCUCCAACUGCUGCGUGAGCGAGAAUUUCGGCCUGAGGUGCCCAACCCAUCCACAAAUAACCUCGGCCCGAGACCCGACUUUCGAAGCCGGGAGGUAUAAUCUCCGGGCCGGGCCUCUGACCCACCACCCAAACGAACGGCAAACCCGACUUCUCGAUCCCUGCCGCAAGCUCCGGCAUCAUCUCCCGGCUGAUGUUAACCUCGGUGCCAAGCCCGACAUAGAAGACUGACUUCUCUUUCUUAUCGUCAAGCCAUCUUUUCAGCUCGACCCAUCUCUCGUCUCCCCUGCCGCAUUUGUGGCGGGGCGGUAAUAAGCCCACAGGGACCACAGGUUUUCCGUAAAGCUUCUGGAGUAGCCUCAGCGGAUCGGCCUCGAACUCGCUACAGCUCCUCACGGCCACGGACUUGGAACCCCGAAUCGACUCGCCAAACCUCUGAAAAUCUGAAGCUCCGGUGUCCAUGCAAUCCUGGUGAGUGACUAUCUCGUGGAGCCUGAACCUGACCUUGGACGGGUAAUCUAUCCACUUGGGAACGACGGUAAAGUCCUCCGGCCUUCUGCUCGGGCCAUCGAUCAAGACGGAAGGUGGUCCGAGGAAAGCGAGAGAAGUAGCACUGAAUACACCAAAGAAUGCCGAGUUCACACCCAGUCGGCUCGCAACUUGGGGCAACCAGUGCGACGCAAAGUCGUGGAUUAUCCAGUCCACGCCAGAGCGUUGAAGAAACUCGUCAACAGCUGGCUCGAGCAUAUCGUAGGCCUUUUUGAGGUACGGGACCUUGUUGUUCGGCAGCUCGGCCGUCGACUCAGCCGAGUCCGGGAGGCCAUGGACACGAGGCAAGGGAAGCUCAACGAGGGUUAUUGAGGGAGGGAGGUCUGUGGGGAGCUUUUGGAGGUUUUUGGGGUGGAGAUGAAGGAGACGCGAUGACCCUUUUGAGCUAAGAAGGUGGCGACAUCGAGGAAUGGCAUGAGGUGGCCGUAAGCAAGCCAUGGGAACAUCGCUAUGUGAAGCUUCUUCUCUUCGUUUUCCAUGGCAGUGGCUAUGAACACUAUUUCAUUUGACGGGUGUGGUGGUAAUGUGACUAGCGAGUGAACUCCAAUGCAAUGGAGAAUGAGCUUUCUCUUCAUAUAUAUACAGGAACUACGUAUGGUGCUUUAAAAUUCUAAUUAAUAUCAGCAUAAAUUAACUUGCAUUUAGAUGUCUAUAACUUAUUACACGAGACUAAAGACUCCAUUCGUUUUGUGGAAAAGGUUUUUCAAGAAAAAAAAUUUCCGGAUUUUUCGAUGUUUGUUUCAUGGGAAAAAAAACUAUAUACAUAAUCCUACAUGUCAAUAUCUGAUUUUUUUUUUUAAGGCAAGAAAUGAGUUGAGUUAAAAACGAUAUGUGAGUUAUGCAAUAUUAGUAAAGUCAAAAGUAGAGGUGGCUGCAGCCAAGUUAGCUAAUUAUUAUCUUUGGGACUUCGUAUCUUCUCUUCAUGUGCAUUGACUUAUAUGAUUCACGGGAGAGAUGUUACUUCUUAUUCUGUUAAAGUUUUUGAUGUACCAAAACAAAUAUCACACGAGAUAAACUAUCGAGAAACAAAUUAUGACCAGCUGAAAAGAUUUAGGUACUUUACUUUCCAAUUGAGGAGGAAAUGUCAUUAGUAUAAAUUGAGUGUUAUAUUUCUAUUGAGAUAAACUAUCUAAGUCAAGUAGAGUGAAUUUAGAGUUUGUCAUUCCUAAGUAAUUGGAUUUUACGAAUGAAUGGUGGAUAGAACUAAUAUUAUAUAGUGCGUAAAUUUGUAUAAUUUUUUUUAAAAAUUUUUUAGGCCCUGUUUAAUAAUCGGUCAAGAAGUGACUAUUUCUAUUCUUUUGUUAUUCUGAACAAAAAAGAAACAUAAAUCUAUUUGUUAAUGUCAACUAAUUUUUUUGUCAUUUGAAAUAAAUUUGGAAUCGAAUUAAGAAAUUAAAAAAAAUGCUUCUUUAUUCUUAGAAACAAUUCAAGAAUCAAGUAAUUUUCUUUCUUUUCUUCCGUUUCUUUUAUUCUUUUCUUUUUCUUAUUCCCCCUCUGCAAUGUGGUGGCUGGGCUUCCUUGAGGCUAGCGAGGUAAUCGAUUCUCGUUUGGUCAAAAAUCAGCUAGAGGAAGAAGAAGAGGAGAAGGAGGAAAAAAAGAAAAGAAAAAAGAGGAGAAAAUAUAAUAAAAUUAUUAAAAAAUUAAAAAAUUAUAGGUUGCAAAAAAUUUGAAGAUUGUACCAAAUACAUUUUUAUUCCGGAAAAAAAAAUUUCAUAUAGUUACUAAAGACUUUCAAAUACUCAAAAACUUAUCCUAGAAACAAAAUAAAAAAUAUAUAUAUAUUUUUGAGUAGAAAUUAUUUUCAUAAACAGAAUGAUUACUAAAUAGGUCUUUAGUUGGAACUUGAGGUGAAUCUUAUGAACUUUGGAAAAAUUAAUUUACUUGAUCUAAUAAAGUCGCUCUACACCUUAAAUGAUCCGGACCUGUUUCGAUGGAGCCGAGUACUUAUGUGUAGGGGUGUCAGUAACCAAACCGGAAACCGAACCGAACCGAAAAUCGAACCGAACCGAACCAAAAAAUUCGGUUUUUUCGGUUCAGUUUUCAUUAAAAACCGAAAUUUUUCAGUUCGGUUCGGUUUUUAUCGGUUAACCGAAUUGAACCGAACCGAGAAACCGAAAAAUAGAACCAAUAACCACUAAGCAUUAACCAAACCGGCAAAAGGGCCAACCCUAUUUCUUAUUCUCUCCCAUCUCCUCUCAUCUUGAAGGUGCGACGGCGACGGCGACGGCGACGGCGACUGUGACUGUGACGGCGACGGCGACAAGGACUGCGACGGCGGCAGGGACGGCGACCGAUUGAGGGACCGGUUGUUCCGCCACGCCCUUUUCUCUUCUUCUUCUCCUUCUUCGUCGGCAGCGGCGCGCCGGCGACUCGUGGAGCUGUGUGCUGUGCUGGGUCGAGCAACGGCGCUUCGGAGACUGACCCUUUUUGUCCUCACGACACCGCUCUACUACGUCAAUGCCCCUCCUCACAUGGGCACUGGGCAGCGCCUACACCACCAUUGCCGCUAAUCCCAUCGCUCGCUUUCAGGUUUGUCUUCAAACAGUUGAGGUUAAUUGUUUUGAUGUUAUCGUAUUGCGCAACAUGUAAAUGGAGCGAGACUCGGACUGGGAAGUUGCAGGGCUGCUAAUUGUAUAUUGCGUGUGGUUUACCGGAUAAUUAAUGAUUUUUUGCUGAAGAACCCUUUUUGCAUUGUCGGUGUUAUGUAACACAGACUACUAAUAGAUCCAACAUAAAUAUUGCACCAAGUUUCAAAGUGAUCAAAUGCUUGCAGUGGUUGACUUCAAGGUUGAUUUCAUGUUUAGAAGGUGCAAAGUAACGCAGAUUCUUGCUAUUUUGUAUGGUGUUAGUGUUCUGGCUUUGGGUUACAGAUUCUUAAUUUGACCUCCUCUUUUUUGCCGUGUUUGGCUUAAAUUAUCUCUCUAUUCCUAAUAUAGUUAUGUUUGCCUUUCUGAAAAGGGUGUCCUGACUUUUUUUUGUGUGGAUUCCUGAUUCUUUUCAUCUGUUUUUCUUUUUCCCUUUGUCUCUUUAUCUGUGUUUGGCUUAAACAAUUAUUCUUUUUCACAAAAGUAUCAAGUUCGACAAUUGGAAAAGGGUUCCAACUUCUCAUUGUAGAUUCUUGACUCUUUUCGUCUGUUUCCUAUUUCUUUUCUAUACGAACUUGAAUUCUACCAUCUUCCAUAGAUAGCAUCUAAUGCAGCUAAAAGUUUUGGGCCCUGGAUCUAUCUCUGUUAUGUGUCCUUGCCUUCUUCAGAGGGAAUUUAUCUAUAAUUAUGCAUCUUAUGUAAAAAUGGUUGCUCCUUUGAGGUUUAUAAAUAUAUUAAUGUUCCUUUAUAUUGAUGCAGUGUCAUUGAAGCUCUCAAGGUGGAUAGUUUGCAGAAACUUUGCUCAUCAUUGGAGCCCAUACUUCGGCGUGUCGUAAGAUAAAUUUGGCAGCCGCAUGCUAUUCAUUUAUUGUGUUUCCAUGUUCUUUUCUCUUGGUUAAUGGAAGAGUAGUAAAAUUGAUUGAUGAAGAAACUAGAGAACAAUGGUUAUCAUGAUUUGUGGGAGUGAAUGAUAUUCUGAUUCUAUAUGUAUCACUGUCUCCUUAAAUUGGCUUGAGAGCCUUGAGAAGUGAAAAUCUCAUGUAUAGUGUAGUAUGUUUGCGUUUAGGGUGACUAUGCAUUAGCAAUAUCAUCUUUGAUUUUGCCAAAUAUCAUGUAGUGACUAUGAUAGUUUAGUUUACACUUUUAAUUUGGAACUGAGGGAAUGGAUCAUGAUUUUGCCUGCAUAACGAUAUAAUGUUCCUCAGAAUUGGUCAUAAAGGAAUUUGCUAUGUUUGAAGUUUUUAACGUAGCUUAAGAACUAACUUUCUGAAAUAUUGACCAGGUUAGUGAAGAAGUGGAGCGAGCUUUAGCAAAAUUGGGCCCCUUCAAAAUUACUGGGAGGUAUGCUAUUUUUUAGCUAGGUGGAACCAUAGUGAUGAAAUUUUUGUAUUGGCUUGACGCUCUGAGUUGUGAAUCUGGUUUGCUUGAGAAGAUACUCAUUAGCUCUGUAGGGGCAGGUAUGAAUUGCCUGAAGGUUAAGCUGGAAACAUGUUUGUGCAUAUGGUUCUUCCAUGGUUUAUUUAUUUAUAUGGUUGACCUCGCUUAGUGGGAUAAAGCUUAGUUGUUGUUGUUAUUUUUUGUUUGUUUGCUUGUUUGUUUAUUCAUACUUGACUAUACAAGUUAUUGCAAACGAUUUGUUAUUGCGUCAUUAGUAGAGAAUUCCCACGAUUCUUAUAAUAGUUAACCAUCAUUACAUAAGACUUGGGGUAAACAUGAACUGGGUAAUGCAUAUUUCAUGCUUUGUUUCAAGAUAAUAACAGUAGGAGAGCAAGCUCUAGAAUUUAAAUUUUGUUUUUAUAUAUUCUCAUGGCUUUUCUUAAUCUAAUUUUCUGAUGACUUUAGACAACUUUUCAAACUUGUGAAUUUAAAAAGGGUUUCUUCUUGCUUGACUUCUCUUCGAAGAGAAGACAUAGAUGUUCGUUUCUUGAAUAUAGCGCAAAAACUAGAGAGAACGUCAAUUAAUGCUUCAAAGAGCUUAUACAGAAGGUAAGCCAUCCCGAAAAAAAAAAAAAGAAAAAAAAAAAACCGAAACCCAAAAUUUGAAAACCGAAAAACCGAACCGAAUUCGGUUCGGUUCGGGACUUAUUCGGUUCGGUUCGGAAAUUUUCUCUAACGGUUCGGUUCGGUUCGGUUUUUCAAAAAAACCGAACCGAACCGUUUACACCCCCUACUUAUGUGGGCAUGAUUUACAGAGGAUCGUAUGUUCCAAUGUUUGGCCCCAAUGCAUGAUGCAUGCCACCGACGGUGUACCACUACAGUAGCUUUCAUAAAUUCUGAGAAAAUAUUGGUUGCUUCUAACGUGCAAAUUCAAUUCAGUUCUUUACCAAAAAAAGAAAAUUCAAUAGGAAGGGCCAUAAGGGUAUGACACGUGUCCAACUGCCCAAAUUUCAGACUGUUUCUUCUCUCUCUCUUCAUUCCAGCACACAUCUUCGGCUUCCCCUUCGACCCCUUUCGCGGUCUUCGUGGGGCCGCAGCACUCGUCGUUGAGGAAGUCAGGGACGGAGCUCGUCGCAACGGGCCCAGCGGCCGCAUGGAAGAAGGGCUUUAAAGGGACCCACACGCGGCGGCCGGCGAGGGGGUUGGCAAGUGCACGUCCACGUUGCACGCAGCGCACAGGGCGGCGGCGUCAACCCUGCACGCGAAGGCUACCAGCGUGCACUUGCAUGCCUCGCACAUCCACGCGCGCUUGUGGCGGGAGGCAAGCUUGUUGGCGCCAUGGACGCUGGUGUUGUAGGGCCGGCAGAGGAAAGCCACAUAGGCCUUAUAGAACACUAUGGCCGCGGUGGACCUGCAGUUGUCGCACGCCUUGGUGCUAGCCCGCCGCCAUCUUCCGAACUCUUAGGUUGCACAUGACAAAAUUUCUGAAACAGAAAUUGAUUUCUGGCCAGAAAUUAGUUUUUCAAUUUCUAUUCCCCGAACAAGUUUCUGAGCAAAGAAACCCGUUUGAUAACGAUUCAAAAUUUUUAUUUCUGAAACAGAAAUCCGUUUGAUAACAGAAUAAAAUUUCUAUUUCUAUUAAUAGAAAUUGAUUAGAUAUCAACAUAGAAAAUCCUCUAAUACAAAAUAAUAGUCGAAAUAAUACUAAAACAACAUAGGAAAUCCUCAAAUACAAAAUAAUAGUCAAAAUAAUACUAAUACAUUAUAAAAGUUGAAAAUACAAUUUCAUGGAAUUUCCGGUAUAUUAUUAUCCCUUGUCAUUUUAUUGGCAAUGGUUUUCCUAAGCGUAUUUAUUUGGUUUUUCUCAUCGGUUAAUGUAUCAUUUGCAAGUUUAUCUUGCGCAGGUUCAGACAAGUAUUGCGGAAGCAUAAAUAUGGAUGCCAUCAAUGGCGCCUAUAUAGCCCUGUCAUUUUAUCAAACACUAGUAUUAUACAAGAUUAUCAACAAAAUAAAAUUGAUGGUGUAAAGGAAUAUAUGAGAAUUCUACCUUGAAGUAAUGUUUAUGGUCAGGAACUAAUCGGGGGGAAGGUCGGUUUAUUUUGAUUCUCAAAUUGAAUCAAUCCAGUUGCUCAUCCCUAAUUUCUUUAUUUUUGCUCAAUGAACCUUUAAUGGCCCUUGCAUAACAAAGAGAGAGAUUCUCUUUAAUCUCUUGUCUUCGAAUUAAAAUUCAAGAUUGUGUAACAAUCUAAUUAUUUUGAUUUUGCAAGAAUUUUGAAUCCGUAAAGAAACAAGGUUAAAUUUCUAGGCACGUUUUUUCUUCAUUUAUUACGUAAAAACUUUUUCUUCAACUGGCCAUGCGUGCACCAUUUCUAGGAGGAAAUAGCCACAUUGUUUUUAAGUAAGCAUUUAAGAACUUUGGUCGUUUUUGAAAGUUAGGGACCCAUUCGAUUGUCUUUCAUCCUAAAGAGGAAGUUAUAAAAAAAAAUGAAAAAAAAAAACACGAGCAAAAUAAGAAUAAGAAAAUUAGCAAUAAUUUGUGAAGUUGUGGUUAUGAGUGAAUUAAGUUAGCAAGAAAGCGCAAUGCUCUUUUAUAUGGUUUGAUUUUAGCUUCUGAUUUCUAUUUCAGAAACUGAAAAGUUAAAAAUUUUAGCUUCUGAUUUCUUCAAUUUCUCUAUUUCUGGAAUAGAAAUCUGUUUCAGAAAUAGAGAAAUCAAAUUGCGUUACUAAACGGAUUUCUGUUCCAAACCUGUUUCGGGGAACAGAGAAACAGAGAAAUCGAGAAAUAGAAAUUUUGUCAUGCGCGCCCUUAGUUGCUGCAGUUGCAUCGAAACCCAUCGUCCGCCGUUGCCAAAUGACACCGCUGGAAUUGCCGAACAACUGAGCGUGCAGAGGAAAGAGAAGAAAGAGUGUGAAAUUUGGACCCGCUUGUGACACGUGUCCCAUCCUUAUGGCUCAUCUUAUUUAUUGUGUUGGCACAUUCGACAGAGCCAAUAUUUUCUCAUAAAUUCAACGCGGAUGCGUCCGCCCUCGACGCCUUUCCCUCUGCGUCCGUCGUGACCCACCCAAUCAUCCCUUCUCAAUGGCCCCCAUAGGAUACUUCAAUAAUUUUAAAUUAUUAAAAGCCAUAAUUAUUGUAACCAUUUUUCUACUGUCAUCAAUUUUCGUCACGGUUUCGUCUGCCAUUCAUAUAUAGCAGCAAUUUAAUGGUUGUACAACGUUUCUCAUUUAUUUCUUCAUAAAUUCUUCAUUAUUUUAUAACGACUAUAUAAUAACAUUUUUUGCCUAUAAAUUAUUACUCUGAACAUAUUUAUAAAGUAAUGUGGAUAUUAUCAAAACAUAUUCUUGUUUACAUAUCUUUAUUUCUCUUUUUUAUUAGGUUAUACAUGUUCUUUCUAAUAUUUAAUCUGGAAUAUAGAAUGCCUAUUGCAUAUUGAGAUGAUAAUCGCUAGAGGCUAUCGCAUAGAGUUUCGUACUCCAAGGAGGAAUUUUCUAUCAAGAUUCCUUUUCAAAUUCGCUUUACCAUCUAUCUAUUUAAUUACCAAUUUCAUUUUAAAGAUAAAGUGUGGACAGCCUUGUGGCUUCCUCAUCCUCUACUUAAGCCGCCUAAGUUGCCUUUCACAACCACCGCCACCGCCACCACCAUCGCCACCGUCACCGCCGUCAUCACCAUCGGUGGUGCUCAUUUCGCACCAAGGGUGGUGUUCAUUUUGCUAUGGACAGAGAAAGGGAGAGGGAGGAUAGUGGAAGACCAAUUUUGACCUUUGUAGUGAAGAAGUUGCUAUGGGACAAUGCACCAGGAAUCACGAAACGGGCUUGUGAUUUGGGCUUAACAAAUGACGGGCCGAUUAGGAACGAUAAGGCCCAAGUAAAUGGUGCUUGCUUUUGCAUACUAAAGGUUCUCAUUAGUAAGGGUUCAUCAUUUGCCUGAUCGGCCUUUUAUGAUAACUUGAGUAUUGGAUGUGAAGUCAUUUACAACUACAUGAUGAAAUGAUAGACAUUUGUGGGAUCGUGUAUAUAAAACUUCUUAAGUGCAUUCAUUGCUUAAUUAUCAUCGGCUGUUAAGAAUAUUGUAGUUCACAAUUUCACACAAUUAAUAUGUAGAAUGAAAAGUUGAUACAUCCUGAUUAACAAUGCACCAAAGACAAAAUUCAAGGAUCAACUUAAUCUUGAACUUGAGAUAUUAAAGUUCAAAACUAAAGUCACAAUUGAAAUUUCAAUACUUUUCUUUUCCUAAUGGUACAUUCAAUGCAUGUAGUUUUUUAAAUGCUUAAACAUGGAACAAUAUAUUCAUCUAAUGGCUUAAAUUUUUAACGGUAAAAGCCAAUAAAAACCCCAAAUUUUGUCCACUUUGGCAUAUUUACCCCAAACUUUUUUUUUGACAUAAAAAAUUCCACAUUUGUACCCAUACAACACAUUUAAACCCCAAACACGUUUUUUGUUACACCUAAAACCCCAAGCUUUUUUUGGUGACACAAAAAAAAAAAAACCCAAAUUUUUAUUUGUGUGACAUAAUUAUCCCAAAAAUUUGGUGUCAUAGAAAAAAGUUUAGGCUUUUAAUGUCCUAAUUUUUUUUUUUUGAGUAAAUGCGUCACACGGGUAAAAGUUUUAAAUUUUUGAUGUCACAAAAAAAAUUGAGAUAAAUGUGGGGAAAAUUAUCUAAAAAGUCUUAAACCUAUUACACUUUUGCUAAUUCAAUCUUAAAUCUUUUAACUUUGCCAAUUCAGUUCUAAAUUUUUUCACUUCUUAUCAAUCGAGUCUAUCCGACCAAUUUUAGCCAGAAAAUGCCGAUGUAGAGGCUGCCGGUGCCAUGUAGGAUCAUUGGUGCUGACAUUGACAAUUUUUAAUAACAUUUAAUAUUUUUUUGAAUUUUUAUUUUUUGAAUUUUUUCCUUUUUUUUUCUUUUAUUUCUUUUCUUUUUGGCUUUCUUCUUUGCCUUUUAUGGUAGCCGAUGGCCGGUUGUCCCCUAUGGCCAGCCAGCCAUCAGAAAAAGGCAAAGAAGAAAGCCAAAAAUAAAAUAAAAUAAGAAAAAAAUAAAAAAAGGGAAAAAAAUAUAAAAUAAAAUAAAAUAUUUUUAAAAAUUAUCCACGUCAGCGUCGGCAGUCCUACGUGGCACCACCGGCGUGCACGUCAGUAUUUUCCCGCCAAAAUUGGUUGGAUGAAUUCAAUUGGCAAGAUGUGAAAAUGUUUAGGACUGAAUUGGCAAAGUUAAAAAGUUUAUGAUUUAAUUGGAUAAGUUUAAGAUUUUUUGGACAAUUUUCCCGAUAAACGUGUCACGGUGGGAAAAUUUUGAGAUUUUUUGUCACAAAAAAGUUAUGAUAAAUGUGUCAUUCAGGGCAAAAUUUGGGAGUUUUUUUUAAUGACUUUUUUCCAAUUUUCAAUAGGGUUGGCAAUGAUCUCACUGAGUACCAUGGUAUUUCCUGUUGUAUGUUAAAUCAACAUUCUUAUAAAUAUAUUUUCCUCAUGAUAUCAAUUUAAGGUGUUACAUAUUCAUUUGAACUUUGAAGAGGUUAAUUGAGUGUUAUAUUCCAAAUUCCUACAUUUGCAUCACAACUUAAUUUACUUGGAUGAAUUUUGGAGAUUGAGACCAUUGCCCUAUGAAUGAAACCAUAUGUCAUUUCAUGGAUGAAGAGAUUGCUGUUGAGACUUGUAUUCACUUAUGAAAAUUGGGAUAAGUGUACCGGGAAUUAUAAAAGUUGUUACUAAAGUGUAAUCGAGUCUUAAAAUUUUCAAAUAAUGCAAUCAAGUUUUAAAAUUUAUCAACUUUGUGCAAUUAAGUCAUUCAAUUAAGUCCAUCCAACUUGUCAAAUAGAAAAAUAUUAUCAAGUUUUAGGAUUUGAUUUGAUGAUAAGUUCUAGAACGCGAUUGCAUCAAUUUGACAAAUUUUAUGAUUUGAUUGUACUAUUUGAAAAAUUUUAGAACUGAAUUAUACUUUCGUAAUAAGUAUUAAAACUUCAUAAAAUACUUGUUUCAUGAAAUUUGUGGAGCCGGAGGAGUCUCUUGCCAUGAAACCUGUUCAUCUGUACACAUUCACUUUUUCACAACAGAAAUGUUGGCUUAGAAAGGAAAAAAAGUCAACUUCGACAAGACGAAGCGAUGCAACUUGUGAAAAGAAACAAAAUCCUUGGAAAUUAAUAAUGGGUUUUGGAGACCAUGCUAGCACGAUUUCGCUACGGUUUCGCUGCCCAUUUCUUCUCCAGCAGCUCAUCUAAGACCGAAAUUAAUAAUGGAUUUUGGAGACCAUGCUAGCACGACUAAAUAGGUCCAAGUUUUGGCAAAAACAGCCAAAAAAUUGGCACAAAUCAAACAAAAUUCCCUUAACGCAAACCCUUAACCACCGUAAUUUUUGCUGCCUGAUUAGCCUCCAACGAAUACCGAUAUUCCGAAAUAACUCAUGGUUACUCUUCCUCAUGGCAGUGCGACUGCACCGGCCGAAGUGAAGCGGUGGGUGGCCAGAAUUUGCCAGGAAUCAACGAUUUUCCUCUUGACCCCAAUAUGGCCGAAUUACUGUUCAUAUUCAAAAGGCCUGAAAAAAUACACCAACAAUUGACAAAAACAAGGUAGAGGCACUAAAAUUACUUUGAUACCAAAUGUUAGACAUAACAAUCAAUUAUGGAAAAACAAGAUCAAAGUAAAACAGACCUUCCAGCCAUUGUUUUUUUUUGGUAAAGGACCUCCAGCCAUUGUUUGUAUUGUGUUUAUUAGAAAUUCACAGAGAUUCAACGAAAUUACAGGCAUACUCUAUUAACCCAGUCCCUUGACAUACUGAUGGGGUAUUGCAAAGUGAGAGUUUGCAUUAGACCCCGUGAUUACUCUUAAAAAAUGAACGAUUGUUUCUUUUAUAUAUCAUCUCCCAUUAAAACAAUUAUCAAAUAGAUGGUUGUUACAAAAAUGUGUGAAGUGUGGAAAAACUGCAUGUGAAAUAACCGCUACUUUAAAAAGAAAAUGUGGGUGUGAAAAUAAAGGAUCACAUUAUACAUAUCCUUGACCCAACACUCGGCUUUCGAUCUUGGAAGGGAUACUACCCCAGCCGGCCUUUCGGCCUACCACCCUUCGUAGGGCAAACUUGACUUUUCAAUCCCACGCGCCAACUCGUGCAUGGACUCUUUGACUGAGAGCCACCUCGGUGCCGAGAGCUACAUAGAAUACCGACUUCUCUUCCCUAUCAUCCAAUCAUUGCUUUAGCUCGCUCCAUCUUCCGUCUCCUUCGUGGCAUCUUUUAAUCUGGGGUGGCAAAAGCCCCACCGGAACCACAUGACUCGUGUAUAGCUUCUUGAGUGGACUCAAUGGCUCGGCCUCAAACUCGCUGCAGACCCUCACGGCAACGAUAUCGCGACCCUGUAUCAACCUACCUGACCUUUCCAAAACGGACGUGUCAGUGUCAGAGUCCACGAAAUCCUCUUCAUUAAUCACCUCAUGAAGCCUGUAUGCGACUUUGGUGGGGUAAGUAACCCACUCAGGGACGACUAUCAAGUCCUUCGCCGUCUUGGCCCUGGCCUGACCGUCGAUCAAAAAAGAUGGCAGGCCGGCGAAGACGAGGGUGUUAGCAUUGUAUAUGCUGAAGAACGCCGAUAUAACACCCAGUCAUCUUGCCUUUUAAAGUAACCAGAAAGAUAUGAAGUCUUGGAUCACCCAAUCGACAUUCGAGCUCGCAAGAAACUCGGCCACAGCAAGCUUGAGCAUGUUGUAUGCCUUCUUAAGGUAAGGCAUCAUGUUAUGCAGCAACUCGGAGGUCGACUUAGCUGAGUCGGGGAGGCCAUGGACGCGGGGCAAGGGAACCUCGACAAGGGUUAUGGAGAGAGGGAGGUUUCCGGGGAGCUUCUAGAGGUUUUUCGGGGUGGAGAUGAAGGAGACGCGAUGGCCCUUUCGAGCUAAGAAGGUGGCGACCUCGAGGAAGGGCAUGAGGUGGCCGUAAGCGAGCCAUGGGAACGUUGCAACGUGGAGCUUCUCUUUGUUUUCCGUGGCGGUGUGUGGAAGGAAGACGAAGUGGAAAGGGAGAGUUUAAAAGAGAAACCAGCUUACGGUGGAGCGUGCACGUGCCUCUACUCGGUUCACUUGAUCCAAAGGAUAAGGUCAGGCAUGAUGCCGGAAGAGAAUGAGAUUAGUUAACUUCGCUACACACGUGCGAUUUUGCAAGUAAAUGGCAUUCUAACAUCGGGGCGAGUGUUUCUCAUGCGCAAAAGAAGAAAGCAAAAGUUUUAGUUUUCCUUGGAAAUGUCUCAUUAAAUCUCGUUAAUUUGCUGAUCGGCCGAAAGAAGGGGUUAACCACUGGGGGUUCGCCCCAGUGGCCACCCUUCCAACAUAGAAGGGGGAGGUGAAGGGUUCAAAUCCCCACCUCCUCAGGAGGGGAUGGGGAUAGGGACGCGUAAGUUUGAGAGUGGGUUGCGACUCCCACGCCCUGCAAAAGGCAGGGCACAAGUCCGCAAGUGAGUGUAGAGUAGGAAUAGAGUAGGAUUGACCAAAAAAAAAAAAAAAGGGGUUGAUUUCGUGAUAACUUGAAUGUCUUAAAAAUAAGAACUCAGCUCUCUAGGAAUAUCAUGUUAGAAAUUAAACCAAAUUCAGCAUCUACAUUAAAGAAAAGUCAUAAUUACAGCAUUAUCUUUAAUAAGUCUAUUUGAAUUUGUAUUUCUCGAUGUAGUGAUUGUUUUUAGAGAGUGAUUGUUUUUAAAGAUACGAUGAGAUAUGAUGAUUAUUUUGUUAGUUUCCAGAUCUUGUCUAGAAUGUUUUCUAGAUCUUAUCCGGAAUGCUAACUUUAUCCAUUAGGAAGAGCAAAGAUUAUGUAACAAGUCUAUAAAUAGGGGAGUAUUAUAAUUGUAUUUUGUUAAGGUGAAAGAAAUCUACAAACCUAUCUAUCUUCUUCUCUUCCUUAUGUAAGUUGUGAGUGUUUCACCUUCAAAUUACUCCCAUCAUAUCGAUUGAUGUCCUAACAUGAGUAGUUUGAAAAUGCCUCGGUCUUUAGAUAUUUGAGCCGGUCUCUUGAUAUUCAUCUUCAAAGCAAAGCUUGCACCAAAAUCAAUUAUCGGAAAUACAAUGAUAUCCCCAAUAGGACGGAUAGAUCAGCACAUAGAUCAUUGCUGGAUAUUAAAAUGGGGACCGAUUAAUUAAAGAGUUAAUUUAGGGCGUGUCGUAUCAACAUGUAAUCGAAUCGAUUUUGAUGGACUUGGUGCUGCCCCUUAAUAAUAACAAUAAUUGAGCAUGGCGUCUCAAAUGAAUUUGGCCGAUUCUGGGACCACGAGUUCAACAACUCAAGGCUCUGCCUUUUCAAGUGCCCGAGCGAACUCUUCCAAAUAUUCGAAUUGCAACUUCACAUUUUCAAAUAUCUCCCUCAUGGCCCAUGCUCUCGCCCUCGGCUUCUCUCCCUCCGACUCCACCAUGACUCGCCUUAUCAUCCUGGCUACCGAGUUGCUCGUGAACGACCCGUCGAGCUUGUCCCUCAGCACUUCGAACCCGAGCCCUCUCUCUUCGAGCAGCUUCACCAUAAACCUUGAUCAGAAUUCGCCCCGUAAAAUAGAACCAAUGGCCAGCCUCGCCUGAGUACCUUAGGCUGCGUUUGUUUUCGUUUCUUUUUUCUGUUUUUAAACAACUUUUUUAUUUUUUUGUUCCUGGGAACAAAAAAGGAACAAAAACGCGUUUGUUUGCAUUUUUGUUCCAAAACUAUUUUUUUGUUCCCAGAAACACAUUUGGAACAUAAACAAGAAACAAAAAAAAAAUUGUUUCUUAUUUCUGGAACAAAAUUUAGAAACACUUCUCUCUUUUUUCUUCUUCUUUUUUCUUUCCGUUGAAGGUUGGCGACGCCGUCGAGGGCCGACGACCUCGCCGGAGCAUCGCCGGCCCCUGGUGAGGCCGCCGGCCCUCGUCGGCUGGUCGCCAGCCAUGGCUGAGGCCAGCGACCGGCCAAAAAAAGAAAAAAGAAAGAAAGGAAAAAUAAAUAAGAAAAUAAGAAAAAAAAUAGAAAAAAUAAAAUAAAAAUAUUAAAAAAUUAUACAAAUUUACCAAACAUGUUUCUAUUCAUUUUUUAUUUCCGGAACAAGUUUACCAAACGCAUUUUUUUGUUCAAAAAUUGUUCCCCGGAACAGAAACACUUUUUUUCUAUUUCUGUUUCCUAGAACAAUUUUUAAACAGAAACGUUACGAAACGUACCCUUAAUGACCGAGCUCCAGCCGUAGUGGGUCAAGAACACUCCGAUCCCCACGUGAGCGAGAAUUUCGGCCUGAGGUGCCCAACCCAUCCACAAAUAACCUCGGCCCGAAACCUAACUUUUGAACCCGGGAGGUAUAAUCUCCAGGCCGGGCCUUUGGACCACCACCCAAACGAAGGGUAAACCCAACUUCUCUGUCCCUGCCGCGAGCUCCGGCAUCAUCUCCCGGCAGAUGUUAACCUCGGUGCCAAGCCUGACCCAUCUAUCGUCUCCGCUGCCGCAUUUGAGGCGGGGUGGCAAUAAGCCCACCGGGACCACGGGUUUUCCGUAAAGCUCUGGAGUAGCCUCGGCGGAUCAGCCUCGAACUAGCCACAGCUCCUCAUGGCCAUGAGCUUGGAACCCCGAAUCAACUCUGAUCCUCUGAAAAUCUGGAACUCCGGUGUCCAUGCAAUCCUGGUGAAUGACCAUCUCGUGGAGCCUGAACCUGACCCUGGACGAGUAAUCUAUCCACUCAGGAACAACGGUCAAGUCCUCCGGCCUUUGGCUUGGGCCAUCGAUCAAGACGGAAGGUGGUCUGUGGAAAGCACAAGUAGUAAAACUGAAUACACUAAAGAAUGCUGAGUUCACAUCUAAUGGGCCUGCAACUAUUUGAGAAAACAAUGAAACUUUAUGCCAUUAUUUAGAAUUUUUCCUGACAUAUCAAAGUUCAGAUCAAAGUCAUGAUUUUGACUUAAAAAAAAAAAAACCAAAGUCAUAAUUGCAAUUUUGACACUUUUUUUUUCCUGGCAUUACGUCUAAUCCAUGUGGGUUUUAAAAUGCCUAAACACUAAUCCCAUGUUCAUCCAAUGACUUGAUUUCUUAAAACAAUCGAUAGUAAUUGUACUGAAUUAUACCGUGAUUUUUUAUAUUGUAUGUUAAAUCGACAUUCUUGUAUUAUAUAUGUUCAUGCAAAAUAUCAUAAAUUGAGGUGUUGGACAUUCAUUUGAACUUUUAAGAGAACGUGUAAGUGCUUUAUUCUAAAUGCAACACUCACAGCUUAAUUUAUUUGGAUGAAUCUCGGGAUCGGGACCAUCGCCCUAUGGAUGGAAAUCAUAUGUCGUUUUGUGGAACAAGAGGUGUGAAUCUCUUGCUAAGCUAAUUCCAAAUAAUAAUAAUAAUAAUAAUAAUAAUUUUAAGUCGAGUGACAAUUCUAACCUUAAUAUUUUUUUUUGUCUCGUAAAAAUCACAAACUUUUACCUUGUCCCAAAUCUUACUCCCAUCAUUAACUUUCUAUCUGAAGCAAUCUUGUUUCAAAAAAAAAAAAAAAAGUUCUAGUCUUGAGUUUGGUGAAUCAUGUCAACGGUGUCUCUUGACGGGUGGUGGCCUAUAGAUUACAGAUUACAACAAAAUGGCGAAAUCUAGCUAGAGAAAUUCAAUUUGGGGGUCUUUUUGACUUGCCGAUGAAGUGUCAGAGACCAUAAAGGUGAAGUGUAAGAGAAUGAAUAACUUCUCCAAGUUGUGGUUCCAAGAAGAAGACAAUAAAUGGUGCUUUAAAUCCAACCAGCAAGUGGAUAUGGAUUUAUUGCCAAGGACAAUCAAUGGUUCUAAAUUAAGGAAUCAGAUUUGGCAUUUAAGUGAAAAUUAGUAAUUUUUUUCAAAACAAAAAAAAAAUUAAGGUCAAAAUUGUCACUCGACCAAAAAUUAAUUUUUUUUUAUUAGGCCAACUGUUACCAUGAAAACUUUUAUUAGCAAUUUACUUUUAAACUCCAGAAGUGUUGAUUAAAAAGGAGAAAAAAAAAAAAGUUGACUUGGACAAGAUAAAGCUAUUCAACUUGCAAAAUAUAAAAUCUUUGAAAAUCCCAUUCAUAGCAAGAUCAGAUCACAAUACCCAAGAUGGGAUGGGCGGAAAUUCCGGCUAGCAAUAAAAUAACUACACGAUUCUGAUCCACAGAGCGUUCAGUUCCUCGCCGCCUACCAGGUGUGCCCCCCCCCCACCCCCCCCCAAAAAAAAAAAACCUCAUAAAUUUCGAUAAAAUUACAUAAAUAAUUAUUGAGUUUUGAUUCAAAAUACAAUGUUUUUUGUUUAAUUUAUUCGAUAUAAUUUUUUAAAUUUAAAUUUAAUGUGUAAUUUAUUCAAUGGGACUUGAACUUUUGAUAAAUGCUAAAUCUUGAACAAAUUUAAAUUUUAAGGAUAAUAUUAAACAUUGAGUCAAAAUUCUUUAAUCAUUUUUUUUUACAUUUUCCCUUUUACGACGUAUGCACUCUUGCAUCAAUGCUUUUGAUAAAUGUCAAGUAGGAUUUCUAUAAUAUCCAUUAUUCGUAAUUCAUUCAAAUUAUUGAUAGUGUAAAAAUUGUAUAGAACCUGAUGUGUUUUACUUGCGGGGCUCAACAUGCAUCUCUGAAAUUGGAUUCAUGAAGCAUCGAUGAUUGAGAAAAUAUUUUUUUUAACUUAAAAACAAUCUUUGCAUCGUUUAAGAAAGUGGGUUAGCGAAAAAUAUCUUCUUUGUUAAUAAAAAAUCUUCAAGUAUAGAUGCAAAUAUUUUUUAUUAACUAAUAUUUUUGCGCAGUAGAAAUUGUCUUUCUUUUAAGGAAAUAUUCCUCAAAUCAUGUAACUUGUCGCGUAAGACAAUAGGUUUAAUCUAAUUGAGCGAGCCUACUCCACAUUUGCUAGCAAGGAAAAAAAAAAAAAAGACAAACAAAUGGUUGGGUUCAUAGCGGUGCAAUGAACUCACUCUGCUACAUUUUAGUAGAAUAAUAGUUCAAGAAUGCCCGGUCUAGAUAUCAAAUUGCACCAAAAACAAUAAAAGCUUCACUGCAAAUUGUGGCCCAAAUUCAUCAACUCGUCUGCCAUCAUGAUCGGGACAGCUGCUAUAUUUACACCCGAAUUAGGAUGGUCGUUGAGAGUCGGGAGGUGUUCGGUGUGAAAACGGAAGGGCAUGCGCUGCCCGAAUAAAGCAGGAACUUAGAUGGACCCAGCAUUUACUACUUAGUGAUGUACAAUCGCAACCAGGACAAAAAAAGCACACUCAUACAGAAAAUUCUAGGUCGACGUAAUCAUCUCAUCAACUUGUGGCUCUGCCCUCUUCAAGCACUUGAGCGAACUCCUCUAGAUACUUGUGCUGCAGCUCCACAUUGCCGAAUAUCUCCCUCAUGGCCCAUGCGUUUGCCCUCACCUCCUCUCCCUCCGGCUCCACCAUGACCCGUCUUAUCGUCUUGGCUACUGAGUCGCCCAUGAACGACCCGUCUCGAUCAUUUCUUGGUACCUCUGACCCGACCCGCCUCUCGUCCAUCAGCCUUGCCACAAGUCCUUGGUCCGAGCUCCCCCCGGAAAACACGAUUAGCGCCCGACCCUGCCCGAGGGCCUCUAUGACUGAGCUCCACCCACAAUGCGUCAAGAACCCGCCGACCGACGGGUGGGCCAGGAUGUCCAGCUGAGGAGCCCAACCCACCCAGACGAAGCCUCGACCCAACACCCGGCUUUCGAAACCGGAGGGGAUACUGCCGGGGCCGGCCUUUCGGCCUACCACCCAGACGAAGGGCAAACCUGACUUUUCAAUUCCACAUGCCAACUGGUGCAUUAACUCUUGACUCAAAGCCACCUCAGUGCCGAGGGCGAUGUAGAACACCGACUUCUCUUCCCUGUCAUCCAACCAUUGCUUUAGCUCACUCCACCUCCCGUCUCCUUCGUGCCGGCUUUUAUUCUGGGGCGGCAAAAGCCCCAUCGGAACCACGGCUCUUCCGUAAAGCUUCUUAAGUAGACUCAAUGGCUCGGCCUCGAACUCACUACAGGUUCUUGUGGCCACGAUUUCACAACCCUGUAUCAACCUGCCAACCCUUUGUAAAACGGACAUGUUAGCGUCAGAGUCCACCAUAUCCUCUUCGUUAAUCACCUCGUGAAGCCUAAACGCGACUUUAGUGGGGUAAGUAACCCACGGGGGAACGACCGUCAAGUCCUCUGCCGCCUUGGCUCGGGCCCGACUGUCGAUCAAAAGGGAUGGCGGGCCGCAGAAGACGAGGGUGGUAGCACUAAAUAUGCUGAAGAACGCCGAUUUAACACCCAGUCGUCUCGCCUUUUGGGGUAACCAGAAAGACAUGAAGUCUUGGAUCACCCAGUCGACGUCUGAGUUCGCAAGGAACUCGGCAACAGCUGGCUCGAGCAUGUCGUAUGCCUUCUUAAGGUAAGGGACCAUGUUAUGCAGCAGCUCGGAGGUCGACUCGGCAGAGUCGGGGAGGCCAUGGACGCGAGGCAAGGGAAGCUCGACGAGGGUUAUCGAGGGAGGGAGGUUCGCGGGGAGCUUUUGGAGGUUUUUCGGGGUGGAGAUGAAGGAGAUGCGAUGACCCUUUUGAGCUAAGAAGGUGGCGACCUCGAGGAAGGGCAUGAGGUGGCCGUAAGCGAGCCAUGGGAACAUCGCAACGUGGAGCUUCUCUUUGUUUUCCAUGGCAGUGUGUGGAAGGAAGACGAAGUGGAGAGAGACUUUAAAAGAGAAACCGGCUAUCGGUGGAGCGCGCACGUGCCUCUACUAGGCGCACGUACCGGGAG
rnacentral:lncRNA from 1 species